AAGAGAACAAGGUGGCCGAUGCUCUAAGCAGAAAAGGCUCCCUACUCACAAUACUGUCCUCGGAAAUCAUAGCAUUCAAACAUUUACCCGACUUAUACGAAGGUGAUACUGACUUCAAGGAUAUCUGGUACAAAUGCUCCAACUUCUUAGACGCUGAUGACUACCACAUUGUUGAAGGAUAUCUAUUUAAAGGAGAACAAUUAUGCAUCCCGCACACCUCACUACGUGAAGCCUUAAUAAAGGAAGCACAUUCUGGAGGGCUAGCUGGACAUUUCGGACAGAACAAGACAUUGGAGAUCACUUCCAAACGAUACUACUGGCCGCAAAUAAGAAAAGACUCCAAUAAUUUCGUAAAAAGAUGCCCCAUCUGCCAAAGAACCAAAGGCUCCAGCACGAAUCCAGGAUUAUACUCGCCACUACCCAUCCCGACCUCAAUUUGGGAAGAUUUAUCAAUUGACUUCGUGAUUGGAUUACCAAAAACACAAAGACAAUUUGACUCAAUAAUGGUCAUAGUGGACAGAUUCAGCAAAAUGACACAUUUCGUAGCAUGCAAAAAGACAAAUGAUGCAAUCUACAUAGCCAACCUCUUCUUUAAAGAAGUAGUACGACUACAUGGAGUACCUAAAAGCAUAGUAUCAGACAGAGAUGUCAAGUUCCUGAGUCACUUUUGGCGAACACUGUGGAAGAAGUUUGACACAACACUGAAAUUCAGCACCACAGCCCACCCACAGACAGAUGGACAAACUGAAGUAACAAACAGGACCCUCGGUAAUCUGCUACGCUGCCUUAGCGGGUCAAAACCAAAACAAUGGGAUCUAGCAUUGGCUCAAGCUGAAUUCGCCUUCAAUAAUAUGAAGAACAGAUCAACAGGAAAGUCCCCCUUCGAAGUAGUUUAUACCAAACUACCACGAUUAACCUUUGAUCUCACUACACUCCCCACAACCGUGGAUCUCAACAACGAAGCAGAAUGCAUGGCAGAAAAUAUCAAAAACUACCCAAGGAAGUCCAUGAUCAUCUUAUACAGACAACAGACUCCUACAAAAAGGCAGCAGAUAAAAAAGAAGACAAGCCCACUUCAAUAAAGGAGACCUAGUAAUGGUACACCUGAAAAAGAGCAGAUUUCCUACUGGCACCUACAACAAGCUGAAAGACAGACAAAUUGGGUCAUUCCCUAUAUUAGAGAAAUACGGAGAUAAUGCCUUCAAGAUCGAUCUACCACAAGACAUACACAUACACCCAGUCUUCAAUGUUGCUGAUCUAAAGCCAUACCAUGCACCAGAUCGUUUCAGGCUUGCUGACUGAUGGACCCUGGGACAAGUCCAUCCUUAGGGGGUGGAAUGAUGUAAACUAUAGCUAGUUAGUUAGUAAAAAUCCCUAACUAAUUAGAAAUACAGCUGUAACUAACUUUCUAAAACAGUCUUGUAACUAACUAAAUAAAACAACCUUUUAACUAACUAAAUAAAACAACCUUGUAACUAACCUUGAGAUAUCAAUAUAUAACAGUCUCCUAGCCUGAAAUAUGGCAGAGAAUUCUUUUGAAAAAUCAAUCCAACUUGAAUUACAUCAAUAUUGGUAAAAUGGUCUAUCGAUAAUGAAAAUCUAUAACUAAUACACAAGUGAUGGACUAACAAUUUAAAAUAUCAUCGUAUUUAUAAAUCACGUGGUUUUGUGACAUAUUUGCUAAUGCCAUAGAAACCUAAAUUAUAUAUACAUUUUAGGUUAGUCACGAUUUUGAGUCUAGAGUUUAGACUUUAGAGAAGCGUCGUAAAUGAACUCUUUAAUCUUUCAGGCCUUUGCGUCUGGAUCUAUAAUACAAUUGUUAAUUUCCUCUAUUCGUGAACAAAUUUAACUAUAUGUUAGUGAAUAAUCGCAUAAAUCUCAUUGUCGUUUCUUACCGUUCACAUUUUUACUUUUGAAAAUACUUUUGUUAUCAACUUAUCUAUGACAAUUAUCUUUAAACGAAAGAUUCUUUUUAAGUCGUCAUGUAUGAAACGAAGUGAUCUUUUCGUUCAUAUUCUUAACAGGUCGGUCUCUCUCCUGCUAUUCAAAAUCUUAGUACUGCCACAUCGAUGAAGAUGACCAAGGUUUUCCAAGCGUUUCUCAUGCUCCAACCCCAACUCGUAGACCUUAUCCACGAGAUGCAGCCAGAUUGUAUCGUUUCUGACGUCUUUUACCCAUGGACGAGUGAUGUGGCAGCCGAGCUCAGAAUCCCACGGCUUGCCUUCAACGGUUCAAGCUUCUUCAGUUAUUGUGCGGAACAAUGUAUAAAGGAGCAUAAGCCACAUCUUGAAGUUGAAUCCAACAAUGAAAAGUUCAAACUUCCGGGGUUGCCUGAUGUUAUUGAAAUGGUGAGAUCUGAGUUGCCAAGUUGGAUCACUAGACAUAAACCAGAUGGUUUCUCACAAUUGCUUGAUGUCAUUAGAGAAUCAGAGAAACGAUGCUAUGGAAUGUUGAUGAAUCGCUUUCAUGAAUUGGAAGCCUCAUAUGAAGAACACUUGAAUAAGGUGAGGUUUACCUCAAACCAUUGUAUAUAACUACACAUUACUCGUUUCUUAACGUAAUCUUUUGGUUUUGAAAUUUGUACUUGAUUUAUGAUCACGAUUUCGUUAGAAUUAUAUUAUUCAUAUUUUUUUAAAAAAAGAGAAUAUUUGAGAACAAAAAUUACAUCUUGAAGUAUAUAUUUGUUUAGAAGCUUGAUUUUUAGAAGUUGUUAAUUAAGCUUCACAUAUUUUUAAAACACACUUGAAUUCUAAGUUAAAGUUUUUCAAGAAAACUACAAAUUUUACUUUAAGAACGUGUUUUUAAAAGGGUUGUUGUCAAAUAAUACAACAUGAGACAAAUUAUUUACUUAUGUAGCAUGAAAUUUUAUUGUCUAAUAAACACUAAUAAUAUAUAGAAAUAGACAUGUGAUAAAAAAAAAUUAUCAUUACGUUGGCCUGUUGCACCCAGCCUUGUAUAUCUCCUUCGGUCGCAAAGAAGAAAAAAAUAUUCAAAUUAUCGUUUUUAAAAAAGAGAAGUUUGUCACGUGGUAACGUGUAAUCUGGACAUUGAAUAAGCUAUACAAAAUAGAUGGAGCUCAAGAUGCACCCAAAUAUUUUUGAAUUGAUUCGAGACUUCGAGGAUUUGUUUUUAUUAUUAUUAUUAUUGUUUGAUAGAUUAUAGGGAUCAAAACAUGGAGCAUAGGGCCAGUAUCAUUGUUGGCAAACAAUGAAAUUGAAGAUAAAGAAUCAAGAGGUGGAAACCCCAACAUUCAAACCACCAACUUACUCCAAUGGCUCAAUGAGAAAGAACCAAAUUCAGUUCUCUACAUCAACUUCGGAAGCUUGAUUCAGAUGAGUCGUAACCAAAUAACCGAAAUAGCACAUGCGAUUCAAGAAUCCAGUCAAAGUUUCAUUUGGGUCAUAAAAAAGAACGACGAAGACAACGAUGACGACAUAGUAAACAAAGGGUUACAAAAAGGGUUUGAGGAGAGAAUGAGUAGAACCAAAAAGGGUUUGAUAAUAAAGGGAUGGGCUCCACAAUUGAUGAUAUUAGAGCACAAAAGUGUUGGAGGGUUUUUGACUCAUUGUGGUUGGAACUCAAUUCUUGAAGGAAUAAGUUCAGGCUUACCAAUGAUCACAUGGCCAUUGUUUGCUGAACAGUUUUACAAUGAGAAGUUGUUGAUUGAAGUGGUGAAGAUUGGAGUGGGAGUUGGGUCAAAGAAAUGGUGGCAUUUGGGAGAAGAACCAGAAAUUAUUAAGAGGGAAGAGAUUGGUAAGGCCAUAGCUUUUUUGAUGGGUGAAAGUGUUGAAGCUUUGGAAAUGAGAGAGCUAAAGAAAUGGGAGAGGCUGCAAAAACAAGUGUGAAUUGUGGUGGUUUCUCUCAUACCAACUUGGUUUCAUUGUUUGAGGAACUUCAAGAAAUGAAGCUUAAGAGAGUGAGGAAUGGUCAGAAGAAUACUUAGAUGUUUGUCAAAGGAUAAAGUAUUGUUUUUCUUUAGGUCAGUCUAUUCAAUCGAACGGCUAUAGUUUGUUGUAAGGUAAAGUAUUUUUGUUCUAAAUAUAUUUUGAGUUACUUUUACUAUGCGACUAAGUGAGUUGUACUAUUGUAAUCUUCUACAUUUAGUUUAUGAGAUGCAUGUUCAUGUUUAAAAAUAUUUGUGAUUCACCCGAGUGUCAAAUUAUAAAUUAUCCUCUAGUAAACUUUUUUAAAGAUAAGAAUUAUUUUGUGAUCAAGGAGAUGUACAAAGUUUGUUGGACUAAAGUUGGAUAAUAUAAAUUUGUUUUCUUCUAUUGGCUUAAGGCCUUGGUUCCAAUUUAAUUAAGAAUCACUUCUAGAAUCUUAGUUGAGAUUUUCUUAAACAUUUGACGAAGUCUACAAAAUGUGUUAGAAUAGAAUUUGUAAUCGUAACAAAAACUCUAAAUUGAUUCUCAUGUUUUGCAUGAUAUUUUUCAAACCAAGUCCAAGGACGUAAAUUUAUAAGCUUAUGGAAGUUUAUUGAUUAGAUUACUAAAUCCUAUAUGAUUUAAAUUAUACAACCUUCCAAGCGUAGGGGCAUAAAUUAUUUAAAAGAAGUGAAUUUGUUAUCAAGCUGUCAAUAUUGAUGUAGAAAAAAGCUUUUGGAGAAUCUUUAUUUCAAGAAGGAAGCUGCCCUUCCUAGAAUCAAUUUGAGCAUUAACAUGGCUUUUAGAAUCAAUUUGAGCAUUAACAUGGCUUUUAGUCGUUGGAAGCUGCAAAGAGAGCGUUCCUAGAAGAUGAAUGUUGAUGUUGCAUGGUUGGAGAACACUCAUAGAGGUGGGACUGGUUGAAUUAUUCGUGAUUGGGAACCCAGUUAGGGUUGGGUGCUUUCCAAUGUCUUUCAAUUGGUCAAUCCAUGCAUGAGACGAGUAUCAUAUGCUAAUGUCAUAGUCAAUUACUUAAGUCACACCUUGGUUUUCCAACUUAUGUUGGGGUUUAGUAGAACAAAGUUGUCCAUAAUCAAGUAGGUUUGUCUUCUUCAUUUGGGAAUUCCUCUUUCUAGGAGAGUUUUUCUCCUUUUAUAUUAUCUCUCAUUCUCGGGAGGGAUUUAUGAUAUAUGUAUGAAGAAAAAACAAGUGAAUACUACUAACAGAAGUGAACCACGAGUUUUUAAGUACAACAAUCGAGGUAUGAAGGAUCGAACCUCCCAUCUCUAAGAAUUUUCGUGGGGAUCCUCUCCGCUUUUCUUGCCUAAGCAAAACCCGACCCGCCUAGUAGGUCCUUAGAGUUUUUCACCCGGCAUGGCAGCCGGUAGAGAGGGAGAGAGAAAAAAAAAGAGGGAGCCAAGCCAGCCGCUUAGGUCAAGUAAAAUGCGCGCCGAGAUCCCCCGGUUUCAGAAUUUUCGUGGGGAUCCUCUCCGCUUUUCUUGCCUAAGCAAAACCCGACCCGCCUAGUAGGUCUUAGAGUUCUUCACCCAUCAUGGCAGCCGGUAGAGAGGGUGAGAGAAAAAAAGAGGGAGCCAAGCAGCCGCUUAGGUCAGUAAAAUGCGCGCCGAGAUCCCCCGGUUUCAGAAUUUUCGUGGGGAUCUUCUCCGCUUUUCUUGCCUAAGCAAAACCCGACCCGCCUAGUAGGUCCUUAGAGUUUUUCACCCAGCAUGGCAGCCGGUAGAGAGGGAGAGAGAAAAAAAAGAGGGAGCCAAGCCAGCCGCUUAGGUCAAGUAAAAUGCGCGCCGAGAUCCCCCGGUUUCAGAAUUUUCGUGGGGAUCCUUUCCGCUCUUUUUGCCUAUGCAAAACCCGACCCGCCUAGUAGGUCCUUAGAGUUUUUCACCCAGCAUGGCAGUCGGUAGAGAGGGAGAGAGAAAAAAAAAGAGGGAACCAAGCCAGCCGCUUAGGUCAAGUAAAAUGCGCGCCGAGAUCCCCCGGUUUCAGAAUUUUCGUGGGGAUCCUCUCCGCUUUUCUUGCCUAAGCAAAACCCGACCCGCCUAGUAGGUCCUUAGAGUUUUUCACCCUGCAUGGCAGCCGGUAGAGAGGGAGAGAGAAAAAAAAGAGGGAGCCAAGCCAGCCGCUUAGGUCAAGUAAAAUGCGCGCCGAGAUCCCCCGGUUUCAGAAUUUUCGUGGGGAUCCUCUCCGCUUUUCUUGCCUAAGCAAAACCCGACCCGCCUAGUAGGUUCUUAGAGUUUUCACCCAUCAUGCAGCCGGUAGAGAGGGGAGAGAAAAAAAGAGGGAGCCAAGCCAGCCGCUUAGGUCAAGUAAAAUCGCGCCGAGAUCCCCGGUUUCAGAUUUUCGUGGGGAUCCUCUCCGCUUUUCUUGCCUAAGCAAAACCCGACCCCGCCUAGUAGGUCCUUAGAGUUCUUCACUCAGCAUGGCAGCCUGUAGAGAGGGAGAGAGAAAAAAAAAGAGGGAGCCAAGCCAGCCGCUUAGGUCAAGUAAAAUACGUGCCGAGAUCCCCCGGUUUCAGAGUUUUCGUGGGGAUCCUCUCCGCUUUUCUUGCCUAAGCAAAACCCGACCCCGCCUAGUAGGUCCUUAUAGUUCUUCACCUAGCACGGCAGCCGGUAGAGAGGGAGGGAGAAAAAAAAGAGGGAGUCAAGCCAGAUGCUUAGGUCAAGUAAAAUGCGCGUCGAGAUUGCCUGGUAUCAGAGCUUGCAUGGGCAACCUCUCCGCUUUAGAUGGAAUUUGAUGAAAUGCUUAUGUCGAAAGUAGGCAUUUCUCUACAGAGUCCUAAUGGUCAUAGAAAUUUAUUAUGCUUUGUAUUUAUUUUACUUUGUUGUCAAGAAUCAACUUCUUUUCUGAUUUGUAUGUUUAUGUAUAUGUUGCAUCUCUGUCUUGUUAUCAUGUUGUAUUUCAUUGUACUCAAUAGUCUGAUUUGCAUUUUUUAUUUGUGUUAAUAAGUGUUCGUGUAAUUGCAAUUUUGUUCUUGAAGAUAUUUUGCUUGAAUCAAGUUAGUUCUUUCUAUAAGGAUCAUUUUCUUGUAAGGUUAUAACUUCUUGUCCAAUUUUUCCAACAAACAUUUCAACUUGUAGCAGGUGAAUCCCUUCUAAAUAAGAGCUUAAAAAGAAAAAACAAUUGGAACCUUUAACCAUAAAAUCAAGGUACUGCAUCUUAUUUGCAAUGAAUUGCUAUAAUUUUGUAGAGACUCCACAAAUAAAAUACUAAAUUACCCAAACAGUUGGCAAACAGAGACAGCACUCUGUAGAUCUUUAUUUAUAUAUAAAUGCCAAAAGAUACAGUAGAAGGAAAUAUAAAAGAAAGCAAUAAAGAUGAUAAUAUCAUGUCAAACCUCCCCAGGAAAAGAUAGUAGUCCUUCCUAGACCUAGCAGCCUCUACAGACCAAAUGAAGACAAAAAGUUAACCUAGCCCCCAAUCCCGAUAAGGCCUUAUUUAUAGCUCUUUUCUCAUUCUUCCCCGUGGGCCCCACUCUCAUGUUCUUUUCCUAAUAUUCUCCCCUUUUCUGCUGCGUGAGCUUUUACGUUUUUACCCCUCCUUUUGUAUGUAUGGAUAAUAGGGGGCCUUACAAUACCCCCGGUUCCAGGUUCACCUUGUCCUCAAGGUGAAAGUCAGGGAAUUGUUGGUUCAUUUGGAAAACAGAUUCCCAAGUUGUUUCACUGUCCGCAGCCCUUUCCACUUAAUUAACCAUUCAUUUCCUCCCAAUUCCCGAUUCCAACGGACUCCCAACACUGUUUCCGGCCAUAAUUGUAACUCAAACUCUUCCGUUAGCCUAGGUUGCUGGUGUUGAACAGCUUGUUGACUACCCAGUUUCAGUUUUAACUGAGAAAUAUGGAACACAUUGUGGAUACUGGCUUCCGGCGGUAACAUCAAUCUGUACGCAACUGCUCCUAUUUCUUCAGUAAUUUUGUAGGGUCCGUAAUAUUUAGGUGCUAACUUUUCACACUUCUUCCGAGCCAAGGAGCGUUGCCGGUAAGGUCUCAAUUUCAAGUAGACUUCAUCUCCUACCUUAAAUUUUAACUCUCUUCUAUUUCGAUCAGCCAUUUUCUUCAUCCUGUUCUAGGCUACACACAGGUGUUCUUUUAAGGCAUUGAUGGCUAAGUCACGUUCCUUCAGCAGCGUGUCAACCUCAUUAUUAGGAGUUUUCUUGUAACCAUAGGAUAACAGGGGAGGAGGCGGUCUGCGGUAUACCGUCUGGAAAGGGGUCAUUUUGGUGGAUGCAUGGAAGGUGGUAUUAUACCACAAUUCUGCCCAUGGAAUCAGUCUAUCCCAUUUUUUUGGUUGUUCAUUACAGAAGCAUCGCAGAUAAGUUUCGAGACAUCUAUUUACCCUUUCUGUCUGCCCAUCAGUUUGUGGGUGAAACGCGGUACUCCUCUUUAGAAUAGUUCCCAUGGUUGCAAACAGUUCCUUCCAAAAAUUACUAAAGAAAGAUUUUAUCCCGAUCUGUGAUAAUCGACUUAGGAAUGCCGUGCUUGCUUACUAUUCUGUCGAUGAAUAUGGAAGCAACUUGCUUGGCUGAAAACGGAUGUCUCAAUGAUAUAAAGUAAGAAUACUUACUCAGCCGAUCAACUACCACCAUGAUCACAUUAACCCCUCAAUAAAGUCCAUGGUCCAAUCUUCUAAGAUUCUGUCAGGAAUUGGAAUUGGUUGAAGUACCCCAGCUGGUUUGGUUGCUUCGUAUUUGUUUCUCUGGCAGAUCUCGCAUUGUUCCACAUAUUUCUUUAUUUCAGCCUUCAUACCCCUCCAAUAUAGUUCUCCACUGAUCCUCUUGUAAGUUCUUAAAAAUCCAGAAUGUCCCCGAGGAUAGAAUCGUGGAAAGUAUGUAGGAUCUUGGGUAUAAGUGUAGAAGUUUGAGAUACUACCAUUCUCCCCUUAUAGAGCAAUCUUCCUUUUUCCACUUGAAACUUGCUUCCUUCUUCUGCAUUUUUCUUCAGAUUUUCCAUAAUUUUCUUAAGUUCAGCAUCAUUCUCAACUUCCUGCUCGAUUAGUUUCACAUCAAUGAUUCCAGUAGUUGUCAAGCUGUGCAGCUCCACCGGUUGCUCCAUUCUAGAUAGGGCGUCCGCUGCCUUGUUCUGAUGUCCGGGUUGAUAUAAAAUCUCGAAAUCAUAUCCAAGGAGCUUUGUCAACCAUUUCUGGAAUUGGGGCUGUACCUCUCUCUGUUCAAGCAAGAAUUUAAGAGCCUUUUGAUCUGAAAGUAUGGUGAACUUCCUGCCCAGCAAAUAAUGCCUCCAUUUUUGAACUGAUAGAACUACAGCCAUCAACUCUCUUUCAUAGAUGGAUUUGUUUUGAGCCCUUGUGGAUAACUUCUGACUGAAAAAGGCAAUCGGGUGGCCAUUUUGAGAGAUCACCGCUCCUAACCCUACGCCAGAUGCAUCAGUUUCGAUAAUAAAGGGAAUGUUCCAAUCUGGUAAUGCCAACACUGGUAGAGUAGUCAUUGCUAGCUUCAAAUUUUCGAAGGCAGUAUUUGCUUCUUCAUUCCACUUAAAAGCAUUCUUCUGUAAUAACUUGGUUAGCGGUGCAGCGAUCUCUCCAUAACCCUUGACAAACCUCCUAUAAUAUCCUGUCAGUCCUAAGAAGCCCCGCAGACCAGAUAUAUUCGUUGGUGGUGGCCAAUUAAUCAUCUUCUUGAUCUUAUCCUCAUCUGCCUCAACUCCUCUUUUGGAUAUCAUAUGUCCCAAGUACUGUAUUUGAGAAUGGGCUAUAACGCUUUUUUUUUUUUGUUAGCAAACAGCUGGUUAUCCUUCAAAACAUUGAAUCUUGCAAUAAAACUCUCAAAAUUAAAUAUAGUAACAAACAUUAGCUAUUCUUUGGUUAACUCUUAUCCGAUGAAAUUUAGUUUAUUAUCCCAUUGUAAAUACUAGCUCUGAGAAUCUGUACAUACUCUACUCUUAAGUUAAAUCUAUUACAUUGAAAAAUGUGAGACCGACCAAAGAAGAAGUUUCCUCCUCCCUAGCUUACUGCACUGUUGUCCAUGGUAAGAAAGGUACUUCAAAAAGAAAAUGUCUAAGGUAUGCAAAUUUCAUCAAUGAAAAGUUCACAAUGUUUAAAGUAGAGCAAAAUAACCAUUUGUAGUCCUUAAAGUUGGGUCGUUCCUAGUCCUUACAACAAAAACGCUACGACAAUACAUGUAUGACAAUUUUUAGUCCUUAAAGUUGAACAGUUUGACAUAUCCUUGAGGGACCAAAGAAACGUAGUUAGAAAAACUUAAUAAGAAUGAGAAUAAAUACAAGUAAGGAGGGUGGUAUUGUCCCAAAUUUCCACAACUCUUCUCAAACCUUCAAAAUUCUAUGGAAACUCAUCAAUAAACAAUAGAGCUUUAGGUAAACUUUUGAAAUUGGAAACUUACCAUGGCUCUAUUCGGUGCAAGUCCACAUACUUUACUCUUUUUUACCUUUGAGUUAAACAAACAAUAGAGCUUUAGGUAGACUUUUGAAAUUGGAAACUCAUCAACCUAGCCAUAUAAAGAUCAAAUUUGCUUUAACAAAACGUACGUUGAAGUCCUUCCAACCCGAUUAAAAAAAAAACAGAUAAGUCUAACACUUUAACAAAUUUCUAGUGCAUAUUAUGCAUCUCAAUUGAUCACAACAAAAUAAGAUUGAACAUAAAUACCCGUAAGUAAUACCUUUUCAAUAUUGCAUUUUCAUAAAACUUACAAGGGUGUAAACAAAAGGACAUGGUGUCUUCAUGAGAAUAAACUAGAGUAACAGUGCCUCAUGUAAAAUUAUAUCAAAACCUCACAUACCAGACAAAUAUAUCCUUGAUAGAAAUAGAAAUUAGAAACUAAAAAAUGUUGUUUAAAUCCAAGUUAUAAAUGAAAACUAAUGAAAUCCACAACUAAUAACAAUAUAAAAAGGCUUAACUAGAUACAAAUAAGUUCUGUCUGUAGUCUAACUCUAAAACAACAAAUACUCAUCAUUACCUCUAAAUAUCCCUGCAGCUGGUACAACAUUCAAAAAUGUUUCAAUAGCUCCCAACACAUAACUGAACCACCAAAUUGAGGAGAAGGCAGAAGUUAAGAUACACAGAAGUAGUGCACAUUUUGACUUAAAAAAAUAAAACACAACAAAAACGCUGCUGGACAAUGAAAGAAUGAUAAGACAAAAACUUGUCGUUAGAAUUUAUAUGUUCGCCUUUGUAAAAACUUGUUAAUUCAACCAUUUCUUCUUGAAGGUGAAGACAAUACUAAAGAAAUGAUGAUGAACCUAACCUAAAUUAAAUGCCCCAAACUAAAAACGAUAUGGUUAUAAUGGGGCUAAUUCUGAAUCUUUUCAAAUCCCUUCCCUUCACUCUCUUUACUAAUACAAUGUGGGAUAAACAAACCAUUGUGUGUUUUUUUUUUUUUUUUUUGGUGACUCUCAUAAAAUCCAUAGAUAUUCACAACAAACCAAUUUCAACAAACCCUAAAGAGAACUAUGUACAUAAAAGACAUGUCUCUAGAAACAAAAGCUAACGAGAAACUACUGUUCAACUUACUUUUCAUGGUUUAUAAACUUUAAGAAAGAUUAAAAAAAUAUAACAAGAUAUAUAUACACACCUUAUAUAGGACAUUAUGUAAUGGGAUAAUGAAGAAUAAGUUCAAUAAACUUUAAUGUACCCAAUCUACCAUAAACUUGAGUUCACUCAAAACCUUUAAGAAAAUGGACAAAUAGAAAUAUAAUCAAGCAAACAUAAUCAUUUUGUUAGGUACAUGCAAGAUAAACUAUUUCACACCAACAUAUAUAAUCAGUAUACAAAUGAAAUCUUUGAGUUUCACAAGCUAAACUCAAUUUAAACUUUGAACUAACAAGUCCAAACAAUUUUCAUUGUAAUUCAAUAGUUAAAAACGUACCUUGGAGCCCUUCCAACCCUAUCAAAAAAACAUAUAAGUCUAGCACUUUAACAAAUUUCUAGUGCAUAUUAUGCAUCUCAAUUGAUCACAACAAAAUAAGAUUGAACAUAAAUACUCAUAAGUAAUACCUUUUCAAUGUUGCAUUUUCAUAAAAAUUCAACAAGCAUUGUCACUCUCUCGAGGAUUCUUCAAGCCCUAAGUAUGAAAAAAUGUUCAAUGAUUAAAUCGUACUCCAUUUACAUGACAAUUUGACAAAGUUGAGUUAACCCCCCCCCCCCCCCCAAUUUCCAACACUAUUGUUGGAAAGGAACAACAAGAUCUUUCAAAGUAAGGAAAGAACUACUAUGAAGAUUUUAGAUGAUAUUAAUUCAAGCAAACGUUUAUAUACUACUAAUAUACCAUACUAAUUCGACUAAAACACUUUCAACGAGACUAGAAUUAUACAAAAUAUACUUUAAACCACAAUAGUUGAAUAUGUAUUUUUGGUAGGGAGGUAGACACUACUUACUUGAACAAAUAACGACAACGUCCUUGAAGUAAGAGGACUUUCUGCUAAUCCUCAAUUCAAUCAAUUAUUCAAAAUGUCAUAAGGUAGUCAUAGGAAGAAAAUAUAGUUUAAAAACGUUGAUAAAAAGUGGAGGUAAAAAAAGUGUAUAGGCUUAAGUUUCAAAAACUUAAAGCCAAAAACCAAAUAGAUAACAUACAGAAAUUCUCUUGGAAUGUGUAUAGGCUUAAGUUUCAAACUUAAAGCCAAAAACCAAAUAGAUAACAUACAGAAAUUCUCUUGGAAUGUGUAUAGGCUUAAGUUUCAACAUACACAUUCAUACCUUUCCAAUGUGUAUAACAUACAUCGCGGUUUAUGUUUCAAGCAGAGGGUGUAUUUCGACAUUUUCAAAUUUACUCCUCUUGGAAAGAUCUAGCAUGGUAAGUGGCAAAUAAAAUUCUACCAUACAAAAUAAAUCUUAAUUCACCAUCAUUUUUUUGUCUUUCCUUUCAAUAUAGAACAUGUAGUAAUUUUUGUUGCUACUAUCCUUAUUGUAAGAAAGGGAGAGAGAACAUACCUAUAAUUAUCAAUAAUCACUUCCCUCUAUCCUUCAAUCAAAGCAACUCAAUAGCAACCAUAAACAAAAUAUCAAUAGAAAAAUCAAAAGUACUAAAAUUCACUUGGAAUGCAUAGACAAACAAAAAGACCCUACACACCAUCAAAGUUUAAAAUCUCACAUUUCAUUUUUCAUUCUCUUUUUCUCAAAGCUUCAGCCCAUAGCCAUGACAUCUCCUUGGCCUUGAUUUCCUAAUUCGAACGAAAAAAAUCAAUCAAAAAUCAACCAAAUGCUUCAUUGAGGCAUUUCAUCAAACACAUUGUAAGCUACCAAAAUGUUUCAUCACAUAGCCAACCAUAAAGAAAAAAUGUAGAUUCAAAUUAGAAAAAUGAUUGUAAACAACAAUAUUGAAUAGGAUGGUAGACAAAACAAACACAUAUCUCAUAUAAAAGCAAAACUAUGAGGGAUGUUUUUCAUAAAAAGAACCAUCAAUAUAUCACAUUGUGGGUAAAAUGAAAGCAUUUGAAGUUAAUAUACUGUAUAAAUACAAACAAUAGAAAUAAUGGUUGAGAUUCACCAGUGAGUUCAGCGGUGCAAGGGGUGUUGGGUGGUUGCGUCGGCUGAAGGAGAGAAAGAGAGGGAUUUCGCGCAUUGUUGACAAAAGUCUAGUCUUUCCCGGCAUGCGUGAGAGAGGGAGAGAGAUGGUUAGCGGAAGGGGGAAAAUCGAAGAGGGGGACGUGUGGAUCUUCCACAGAGAAGAAAAGAAGAAGAGAAGAAGAAGAGAAGAAGAAGAAGAAGAGGAGGAGGUAGAGAAAGAGUUUUGGAGAUGUUUUAUUUUAAUAAAUAAAUUAUUUAAUGUUUUUAGAAUUAGGAAAAAAUCUGAUUUUAAUAAAUUUUUAUUUAAAAUAAAUUUUAUUUUAAUAAAUUAAAUAAAUAUUUUUUGUAUUUUAUGACAUCAAAUAACUGUUGCGGAAAGUAAAAUCCGAAAAAUUCCGUCUUUUUCCGCCAAAAACGCGGUUUUUUAGCUUUUGUGACAGUUUUUUCUUUUCUCCUUUCAAUUUGGGAUGUAUACAACUGUCAUAGUAGACCACUUUUCUACUAGUGCCACCACCCAAAAUUAGAAUAGAUCAUAAUUCUAGCCCAAAUUUCAGGUCAAUCAAUUUCAAAUUUAUAAAUUUUAAAAUCCAAAACAUAUCAUCAAGCAAAAUUAUUUUAUUAUUAUUAUUAUUAUACAUAUGAAAUAUCAAUAAAUAAAUCAUUCUUCGGGAAACAGUUAAAAAUAGAAAAGCAUUUACACUUGAAAAUGACAAAAUACUCUCCAUUCUCUAUUUGUCAUCUUUUAUUUAUAACAGCCUUAACAUUAAUAUCUAAUUUUAAUAAAUACCUAUUAUUCUCUAUGCUCUAUGAUUUCAUUGUAUUAUUUGUCUUGUCUUGGACAAGUUUGCACGGUGCUUUCUCUAUUAUUUUCUGAGUUCCCAAUCCUUCUUCUUGGGACGUGGCUCCGACCACAUAGAAGUGCUCUAGGAGCUAGUUGUGGAUUGAAUCAUGGGGUUUUUUUUUUCUCUUUGUAACCAUUAAAAUUUAGUAGAUUCAAACCUUCAAUCUCUAAAAUAUAAUAUUGAAAGAGCCUAAGCUUGCCAUUUUGAAAAAUGGACAUUUAGCAAAUCUAAAAAUAAACUUAAAAAUAAUAAACAAACCUUGGUUAGAAUUCUCGUCUAAGUGAAACGUUGAGGUAUAUUGUUUCCCCAUUUUAACAAAUACUUACUUAAUUAUUGAACCUUAAAAUUUGGACUUAGAAAAUGGAUGGUUAUAACUAAGCAUCUUUAGUUUACGGAUUUGACGAAAAAAGUGGAAUUGGGAUUGGAUACGAAAAUUAUAUAUAUGUAUAUAUUGAGUUAAUUAGUAGUCUUAUCUGUUAGAUUGCAUAUUAUGGCAAAUCAAGAGGUAGCAAACGUGGAAGUUGAGAUGAGAACUUCGGGAUUACGUAUUGUGGAAGUGAAGGAAGCAAAUAUAGAUUGUAUAUUCUGUCUUAUUUGUUAGAUUGCAUUUUAUAUAGACUGCAUGUUAGAUUGCAUUUUAUAUAGACUGCAUGUUAGAUUGCAUUUUAUAUAGACUGCAUAUUGCAUAUAUUAGGACAAUUCUGUCUAAUAGAGGCUGUUGGCACGUAAGAAAUUUUUACACCUAGAAUAAUUUAAAUGCAUGCAGAUUAGGUUUCGUGCUUGUGAUGCCAUUUUGGUAUUGGAUUGUUCACUUCUUUACAAGUUGGACGACUCUCCUACCACUCCCUUUAAUUUAUUCCCUUUAUCCUACCACUCCCUUUAUUCCCUUUAUCUCACUACAUGGAAUGCAACGUUUUUCUUCUCUACACUUCGUGACAUAAUGGUUAAUCUUUUCAUUUAUUUUUGUGUUAAAUUCUUUCUAGUUUUAUUUUAAUUUAGUUUUGCAAUAUGUGUGUUGGAGGGAGGAUGAUCAAAACUACAACACUAUACGCAUGUAUAUGCCCAUUUAAAUUUAUAUAUUUACUUGAUUUAAUUGUUUUUAAACUUACCAUACAAUACAGAAUUGAUACCAUAGCAAAUGGGACCUCACUUUCUUCUUAUUUCCAAGUAAAUAAAUAAAAAUAAUGAUCAAAUGUUAAAAUAAUACAAAUAUCGUCCCUCACUUUGUACAAUAGAUCCUAUUGUUGGGUCAGUUGCCAAAAUGUUGAUAAUUGGUUUCAUUUGAACAUAAGAAACCAAGAAAGGCAACAACAAAAAAAAUAUGUGUGUGGUUUCUUAAAUAAGACCAGACCCUUUUCUCUCUAUAAAAAAACUUACACCGAUCAUCAGUAUAACUCAUGUCUGUCUAGGCUAGCAACGCUCUAUCUAGGAAUCACACAACUACUCCAAGCACGGCUUCAUAUCAUUUAAAAUGACGAGCACAACGACGAAAAUGUGGUGUUCUGCAACUGAGGACAUGGUGUAGGAAAGACUGAAGUGCUAAAACCCGAGACAAAAGCACAAUGCCAUUUUGCGGAGGGAGUGAGACCGAGAAUGGUCACAUUUUUCAUACAUACACCGUCAUAUGAUGUGCCUGCAAUCCCGUAAAGAACCGGAGCCUUUGUCGAAUUUAAGCUCAUGAGAUUGGUAAUGAAAAUGCCCUUCACUUUAGGAACUGCCUUUGGAUCAAAUUGUUCAUCAGGAUGGUCAUUUGAGCCCCUGCUAAACCUUAUAGCCAUUUUCACUCUGUUCAUUACAAAGUUAGUUAUACUAACAUUUGCAAUGUAUCCUCCUCUACCUUGGUCGGAUUUGAUUCGAAUGCCUGCUGCCGAAUCCCAGACGUUUAAAUCCUCAAUUGUAAUGUUUGAUAUUCCACCUGACAUCUCACUUCCUAUUCCAACACCAGAACAGGUAGGGGUGGUGCCAGAAACUCGCCUUAUGACGAUAUUUGAGCUUGGGCGUGCAAGGUUGAUUCCAUAUUGAUCCCAACCACUCUUCACUGCUACUAGAUCAUCUCCGCUUUCGAUAUAACAGUCCUCGAUACAAACAUUGGUACUAGAAUCUACACCAUAAUAAAGAUGCAUUUGGAAUUUAGAUAACUCCAGCAUUGUUUUACAUUUAUUUCUCAUACCUCCUAGCUCCAAGAAAGAAGCAAAAUACCUGGAUCGAUACCAUCUGUGUUCGGGGCAUUGAGCGGAGCCAAGAUCGUCAUGUCUUUGAUAACAACAUUGCUGAAAUCAAACAAAAGUUCAAGAACCAGUAUAUAAUUGCAAAGAGUAGAUAAUUAUUGAAAAUGAAACCUGCAAUAGACAGGAUGAAUUGUCCAAAAGGGGGAAUUUUUGAAGGUGAGAUUGGAAAUGAGAAUAUUGUGAGAGUUGAUGAGCUCUACAAGAUGGCCCCUUGUGUGAUUUAAUGUUCUAUUCCACCAAAGCUCCCACCACAUCUUGCCUUGCCCAUCAAUGGUUCCAUUCUCUCCUGAAAAAACAACAUAAAAACUCAAUAGAUUUUCAUGAUUAAGAACAUUCUCGAACCCGAGUGCCGUCAAAGCUAAAUGAGAAGAAGAGUUCACACUAGUUCCAGUUUCGAUGCACAAAGCUAAUGUAGAUCAAAAGAUAUGAUCCCAUUUGAUACUUUUUUUAAGGUAGGUAGAACUUCUUAUUCCUAGUUUUUAUCACUGGACUCUACUCAUAUUCUUUUUAGUUCAACAAUAUGUAACGGUGAGUUUCAAACAUAUGACAUUUUGGUCAAAUUUAUAUAUGUUUUAACUAAAUGAGCUAUACUGAUCACAUUGGUGACCUAGUGGUAUUUGGCUAGGGUAAAAAACAAGAAAAUCAAAGAAAGAAAAUGGGUAAGUCAAGUUAGUCUUAGAAGGUAGAUCUUAAGCUUAAAAUUGAAAUACCUAACUUUUCUCAUCUCAAGUGACCCCUUAACAUAAAAUACUAUAAUGAUCUUCUCCACAACCAAAAUGUACUAAAAGGUCAAGUGCCCUUACAAAAAAAACUCCUUAUUGCCAAUUUCACUUUUAAAAACAGUUGAAAUGGUAUACCAAGAUUCAGUUCUUUAUCAUUCCCACCCCAAACAUAAAAACACACCAUAGAAAAUAAAGCAUGAUAUCUUGAGAGAGAGAAAUAAUAUUCUUAGAUCCUAAAUCCCUUUUUUUAAUUUUUAACAUUAUCAUGGUUCCCUAGCUAAUUGCUUAGUCAUGAUCAAAGUUUGAUUCCAUUACUUUACAAAACCCAAGAUAAGAAUCCUCAUGAAUAUAAAAUCCUAGCAAUGAAGAUGAAGCCAAAAACAAAAACAAAAAAAAAACAAAAAAAGAUAAAGAAAAGUGAAAGCACCUGUAAUUACAACAUUUGAAAGGGCAUUGCCAUGAAUAAGGCUGAUGUGUCUUCCUCCCAAUCUCUCUCUUCCUCUUCCAUAAGAAGGAAGUGGCUCUAUAAUGGGCCACUCAUCUGGAUCCUUUUUUUUUUUUUUUAAUUUCAAACAAAUAUUUAAUCAAGUGCACACUAAACUUUUGACAAUAACAUGCCACCAUGAUUUCUAAAAGCAAAGAUUUAUCAAUUCAUAAUUAACAAAUUUGAUUUGAUAAUUUAUUUUACUGAUCAAACCAAAGCUUAUUCAGUUUCAAAUAAUACCCAACAAAAAAAAAAAAGUCAACCAGUUAUCAUAAAAGCUCUGUUUCAUUUACACACCUUGGGGGAAGGAAUCACACUUUAAUUUUAUUUUAUUUUUUCUAAGGAAUUUUGUUAAUGGGAAAUCCCAAACACUAAUAUAAAUUAGCUUCAAAAGCACUAAUGAAUGCAUUAAAUGAUAAUUCAUAGUGCCAAUAAAUCAUUAGCAUAUACAACCUUUUUUUCUCAUAAUUUCACUGCUUUAUUAUUAUUUAUUAUCAUUACUUUUUUGGUUACAUACAACUUUACUUGUUUUAUUGCUUUUUUUUUUCUUUAAAAAAUAAUAUUAUUAUCAAUUCACAUUUUCACUAUAAAUAAGUUCAGAUAUUACAUUUUUCUUGCAUGCAAAAAUAUUUAUUAUCUUAUUAUUAUUUAAUCAAUUUGGAUGGAAAUAUUGGAUAUAUAUAUAUAUAAAUAUGGUGGAUCCCACUUGCUAUGUUUUUAGGUUUAAAAAUGCAAUAAGAACUUAGGUGACACCGCCAGAGUCAUCACUCUGAUUUUACCUUUUCUGCUAAGUUAUGAAAUCCCAUUUGUCAUUUUCUUCUUCACCAAAAUCACAAAGAAUUUGUCCUUUCCAAACUCAUUAAAACAAUAAAAAUAAAAUUCCCCAACAGUUUAAAAGAAACACCACACAAAGUCUUAAACACAUAAAUAUUUAAAACAAAAAAACAAAUUACAAAAGACAAGCUUAAAAUUACCAUUUAAUUUUCUAAUAACUAUUUAGUUUAACCGUAAGUAAUUUUAGGGGUUUAGGGUAAAAAAGAAAAAAACUGACCUGGGAGGCUAAAAUAAGAGCGCCACGUUGGAGAAAGAGGGUAAAAUUACUGGUGAGAUUAAAGCUGCCCGUGACCCAACUGCCCUUAGGGACGGUCAGUUUAGACCCGCCUUUGUCGCCGAACCGCCGCAUGUACUGAAUGGCCUUCCGAAACGCUUCCGUGUUGGAAGUCUUUCCGUCCCCUACUCCUCCGAAAUCCGUGAUCGACAUGACAACCCCCGCCGUAGCAUCUGGGCGGAAGAAGGCGGAGCAGGUGGGGAGUUGGAAAUCAGAGGGUGGGAGCCAGAAGGGGAAAGGGGGAGUUCUGGUGGCGAUUUGGAAGGUGAGGAUAGCGAGGAAGAUGAAGAGAAGGAGAAGGGAAGAACAGGAGGGAUUGAUCGGAGGGCCGAAAUAGAAUUUUGAUUUAUCACUGUCCAUUAAUGGAAAACCAAAUUACAAUAGAGAGAAGAAGAAGAAGAAGAAGAAAGAAGGGGUAGAGGUCUAGAAGGCAGGCUAGAACUGGAAGGGUGGACAAUGGACAUUGCGCUUCCGCAUGCUAAAUCUUUUCCCUUUUUUUUUUCUUUUUUGCUUUCUCUUCUACUUCUUUCUUUUUAAUAGUUUUUUUUUAAAUAUAAAAUUUUCAAAUUUAGUUAAUUACAAUUUGAUUUGAUUAUAAUAUUUAUGGAAGGUAUUUUCACAUUUUUAAAAAUAGAUUAGAUGAUGCUUUAAAUAGUUUGAAGUUUCAGCCCUACUAAUUUCCUAGUUUUGUUUUCAAAUUCCAUAAUUACCCUUACUUCAAUGCACUUAUUUUGUUUUUGCAAGAAGCAUGACACCUUUUGUUUAUUUUUUUUAUUCUAUACAAAAUUUCUAACAACAUUUAUAUAUAACCAAAUAUUACAAUAUAUUUAAUAUAUUAAACUACUAUUUAUCUUUAUUAUAAUAUAAAUAAACACAUAAUUUAUUUUAGGCUAUCAUGGUUGUGUACUAAGAACCAACGUUCAUUGGGUUUAAGUUCCUCACGUUCCAAUUUGUAUUAAAAAAAUUAAUGAAAAUUUUUUAUUACAUCAUUUUUUUAAAAUAUAUUUUUCUUAAUAUUUUUGAAAACUAUUUCAUUUAUUAUUUGAAAGUAAGCUAAAUUUGAAAUGUAUGCAUAUUAAAUAUGAGUGGAAUUUUAGACAGGGAGAGAGAGGACAUCAUUUAAAAAGUACUAAUUAAUUUCUUUGAUAGCCUUGUUAUUAUUAUUUUCUAAAACAGUUUGAUAGCGUUAUUAUUAUUUUUAUAGUCGGAAUUCUGGUUGUAGUAAAAGAACAAAAUUGUCAUUAAAAUUAAAAAAAAAAAGAGGGAGGGGGGCAAGAUGGUAAUUAUGUAAAAAGAAGCCGUGGGCUUUUGUUUGCUUAUUUGAAAAAGUGGGAUUAUGAGACGUGGCAAGUUUAGAGUGGUGUUAAUAUGGAGUGAUAGCGUGAUAGAUGUUGUAGAAGAAACCUAAUGGUGUAAAAAUGGAAGCCGCUAUUCACGGGCAUCUUUCAACCUUUCUCAUCAUUUCUUUUUCAUUCUAUUUUCUUUAUUUUAUUAUGUUUUCUCUUAAAUUAAUAAAAAAAAUAAAAUUUAUUUAUUUUAAUUUGAGAAUGUAUGAUGAUAAAUAAUUUUAAUUGGAAAAGGAACGAAACCUUUUGAAUUUAUUAAAAACGCAAACAAAUACUAAAUAAGAGAAUAUCAUAGUUAUAUAUAUAAAAAAAAAAAAUGCAACAUCUCCAUUAUUAUGAAACAUUUUAAAUGAAGCUAAAAGUAAAAUUAUGCAACAUUAAUGUAAAUUAUCUCAACUUCAAAUGACAUUUGAACCAAUGUUUGAUUUUAGAAUUAAUAUUAUAUAUAUUUUUAAAUAGAAAAUUUAAUUUGAUUUAUAGUUCCAAGAGAUGCCUUCCUAAAAUGAUUGUUUAUUUACUUGUACCAAUUGAAGCCCUAGUUUUAAUUUAAAUUUACUAUCAAACAAAUAAUUAGGAUCAGAACACAUUUCAAGUAAAAAUAAAAAUGUACUUUUCCAUUAUUUUUCUUUCAAAUGUACAAAAGUCUACUUUUUUGGUGCCAUAUGUCUAUAACUAGUAAAGGUAAAUAAAAUAUAAAAAAAAAAGGAAAAAAAUAUUAAAAUUUGUUUGAAAAUUUUGUGUAAUUUCAUUUAUGAAUAUGUUUACAUACAAAAUUAGUUAUUUGCAAAAGAAAUUGAUUUCGUCUUCUAAAAUGUUAAAAGUUUUUUUUUUCAAUAACAAAAGAUAGUCCAUUAAUAAUUAACAUAGGACUAAAAGAAUGAACUAUGGUAAUAUUUUGAUAUUUUUUAUUCUCAUGUAUAAAAAUUUGAAAAGUGAGGAUAUAAAGAGUUAUGAAAAAUGGUAUUUUGAUAUAGUUUCUACCUAAUACCUUCUCUCAUUCUUUUAAAUUUGAAUCCAUCUAAUUGUACGUUGUUUUAAGCUUUUCAGUUGAAGUUACUAUUUUUUAUCAAACCUAGAUUAACCCUUUGAUUAUAUAUUUUCUAAUAGAAUUAGAUGAAUUAGAGAGAAAAAUGAAAAACAAAAAACCACAGCCAAUGUUUUAUUAGUUAUGUUUUGCAAUAUUCAUCAUGAACUUAUAUAACCUUGCAAUUUAGUACAAUUUAAUUGAAGCUUUUCUGUGGUUGUCUUACCAAUCAAUCCAUUGGCUGAGUUGACACCCGAGUUAAGGGCGACAUCGGUAGAUGACUCGGAAUUUUCAUUCCCAAUUCCCUUUUCAAAUUCUAUAACCUUCGUCACCACGAACAAUUUGCAAUAGAUACGAAACCAAGAUCAGGGUCUUCUUAAUUUUCCUUCUAUCUUUCUUUUUCCCCUUCAUUGGACGCGCCAUCAAUUCUACAUUGGAUUGCAGCAUUUGGGUAUUAAAUUUUGAUCUGUUUUUACGGGAUGUCAUGUUCGAUUUCAUUGUGAUUCAUUCAAUUCCAUUUCUGUCGCAUGUUUUCGUAUCUCUUUGGUAAUGGUGCAUGCUGUUUUGCAUUUGUUGAAUCAGCUGACAUUUGGGUUUUCUUUUUCUUUGAUUAGGUACGUGAAUCGGGUAGCGAUCUUGUUUUUAAAAAUUGUUGAUUGGGUUGGAGCCAUUGGAGGACGGAUUUGAUGGAUUCGACGUCAAACCAAACCGAGUUUGAUUACUUGUUCAAGUUGUUGAUGAUUGGGGACUCUGGGGUUGGAAAAAGUAGUCUGCUUUUAAGUUUCACUUCCGAUAACUUUGAAGAUCUCUCACCGACGAUCGGUUAGUUUUGCUAUACGGAUCAGAUUUGAAGUAUUAGUUUGGAAUUUCCUUUUUUGCUUUUGUGGGAUCUUGCGCAUUCUUUUUGAAAAUGAGCUUAGACAAAUCGGUUUUGUUGUUUGCUGCGGAAUAUUGGUUCAUCAUUUUAAAGAAACAUGUGGAAAGACAAUGAUAUACUUUUGCUGAAUAUUGGUUCAUCAUUUUCACUUUCACCUUCACCUUCUGCAUGGGAUUGAGAUGAGAUUGAGGGCAAAAAAUUAAAUGAAAGGGAAAGUUGAGAGGACCAAGAUUGAGAGAGGCAAUUAAUCUUAACCGUAUUUCAUCAAGAGAAGAAUGAAGCUCUUAGAUAAUCAGGUCAGGUGUCAUUUUUUUAGGACAGUGUAAGGAACUUAGCUAUAAUCGUAUCUGAGAAACUAAAAUGAGAAGUCAUGAAAGAGGUAAUUUGUGCAUUAAUUUCUAAUGGAAAAUACUAUAUUUCAAUGUAAAUAUGUAUUGUAUACUUUCAGGUAUACAAUGAAAAGUUCAUUUUCUUUGUAAUAUUAUAUAUAUAUACACACACUGUAUACUUUCUACCCGCUCUAUUAUCACUGGUCAUCUAUACUUUUGCAUUCUGUUCAGUACUUACUGACCCUGUGUAAAUCUAGGCAUAUGCUCAUCGUCCUACUGUGGGGCUAUUAGUAGAAUAGAUUUCCUUUUACCUGUGUAAGUUUGGUUGAAUUUCAAACCGCAUAGCUGAAAUUUUGGAUGUUCUCUUUCUUAUUAAAACAUUAUUAACAAAAUUGAGAAUUUAAAAUGAUUUUGAUUAUAAAUCCUACGUCUGCAUGUUUAAUUGUGCUGGUUUGCUUGUUUAAAAUGGAAAACGGCACAAGCCUUGCUAACUUCUUAAUUUGCCUUGCAAUGGCAUGUAACCAUCAAUAGACUAGAAAUGACUUUUAAUUAAUUGGUUGUUUUUGUGCGCAGGUGUGGAUUUUAAGGUAAAGUAUGUUACUGCUGGUGGUAAAAAGCUGAAGCUUGCAAUUUGGGAUACUGGUAAUUAAGCUUCUCCACACACAUAAAUAGGCUUCUUCUUCCUCCAUUUUUAUUUUUGAGAGGGCGUCUAUUCUAUUUUCCACACAUGCAAGAUGUAUGCUUUGGCAGAGAAGCACCAAACGGCUAAGUUAGAUAAUUAAUUUACAAAAAGAUAUUGCUUAGCUAAUUAUAUAAGCAGCUGGACGGUAUACUAAAUUAUAAAUACAUUGAGGCUUGGCCAUUUGCGUAGCUUGUCCUUUGUUCACCAGCUCAAAGUUGACUUUUCCUUCAUGGUCCGGCAAUCUAUGCAGUAAUCCUCGAUUCGGCACAGUUUUCUCCUGUUUUGAAUGUAGAAGCUAGAAAAUUUUGUUACCAAAUCUUUGAGGCAUUAAAUAAAUGGAUGAGAAGACAAUAAAUUUAACCAAUUGACAAAUAGAUCUGGAAGGUGAAAACGGAUGCUAACUGUUGACCAUAAGUGUGCCUGGAUGAUGGUUCUGCUGUGCAGAAAAAUGCAACAUGAAUGAACUUUUCACGUUCAUGUAUAGAACUUUGUUGAACCUGCAGCCGGCUAGAGCUUUUUCAUCAAGAUUAGAAACUUGUUCAUAUUUGUGUUUGAAUUAAAUUUGGAUCUUGACCUAACAGACUAAGAAAUUGCUCAAAGGAUUGUACAUGCUUAUUCUAAUUCUUAACUGUUAUCCAGUGGUCCUAGUGCUGUGAAUUAUAAAGAUAAUAUAGUUGUUCUUGUUGAUUAGCCAUGAUGUAUUUGAUGGUACUAGGGUAUUACUUCCUAUAUUUUCUUGUAAUGAAUCUGUAUGAAAGAAAUCUGGUUUACCACAUCUCCAAACUAUGCAUCUUGUAGAAUCUAACUCAAUGUUCAAUCGUACAGCUGGGCAGGAGAGAUUCAGAACACUGACUAGUUCAUACUACAGAGGUGCUCAAGGGAUCAUUAUGGGUGCGUUCUACUCCCUUCUUUAUUUGAUUGUUUUAAAGAGAAGAAAUUCUUUGCUUGGCAUAAAUGUUAAAUUUCUCAGCUGUGUUUAGUUUAAACGCAUUCAUGAUUUUAUCAAAUGAUAAGUUGUUCAUUUGUUUGGCCGUCCAAUAUUAUUCUAUUGCCUUUUGUAUUAUGUUAUCUUGAUUAUGACAUCAAAUAUUAACUGUCAGUUUAUGAUGUAACGAGGAGAGACACGUUUACAAACCUUUCUGAGGUAUGGGCAAAGGAAAUAGAUCUAUAUUCAACCAAUCAAGAUUGCAUCAAGAUGCUUGUUGGAAACAAAGUUGAUAAGGUAAGCGUCUUCAACUUCCAUUUGAAAUUUUCCAUUCACCUGAAUUUGGUUACUCUAACAUUUGUAUAGAUGUCGAUUAAUUGUUCAAGUGUAUGGUGAACUGAAAUUCAUAUUCCAAAGAGUUUUCAGGUUAAUUACCAAUAACAUAUUGAUAAUUUAAGAACCGAUUAAAUGAGUUAUGAAUAUCAAAGCUUUUUCCGUAUGAGUUUGUUAGGUAUUCAAGCUGUUAUUUACUACUAUUAUUAGAAAGCUUAGAAGAUGGCCUAAUGGUAAAAACGGAGACAUAGUCUGAAUAACUAACUAAGAGGUCAUGGGUUCAAUACAUGGUGGAAUUAAUUUCCUACAUGUUAUCUUGACACCCAGAUGUUGUAGGGUCAGGCGGGUUGUUCCGUGAGAAUAGUCGAGGUGCUCGUAAGCUUUCCCGGACACUCACGGUUAUAAGAAAAAGAAUUAGAAAGCUUAGAAGAGUGUUGAAACACUGUACAAAUGAAAUCUAACUUCUAGGUCUGGCUCAUCUCCACGCACAAAGCCUAUCCUAAAUUAUGACUCAAGAAACCAAACUUCCAAUAGGAAGAACAUAAAAACAAAAAGGCAUGUGCGAAAUACACUAAAUGUGAAGUUCAGGUUUUUGAGAUUCUUUUAAAUUUCUUAUGAUAAUGUUUUUCAUUGUCUGCAUCUAACUUACUUUUUAUCUGGAAUUUUAUUCUUCAGGAAAGUUAUAGGACAGUAACCAAGAAAGAGGGAAUUGACAUGGCUAGGGAAUAUGGUUGUCUUUUUACAGAAUGCAGUGCCAAAACUCGGGUUAAUGUACAGCAGUGCUUUGAAGAACUUGUUUUAAAGGUAGCAAUUUCAGUUUAGUAUUACUGUUGGUUCAUUUAUUGGUCAAGGGAUUGAUAUUGAUUGGUGAGUAGCAGGAACAUGGUGUUUCCCUGUUGUAAUUGUAACAGUCACAUUUCUGAUAUUUUUUAAAAGAUAAAAGCAAUCACAUUCCUGGUAUAUUCAUAAAUAGGUUAAGGCAGUGAAAAAUUUUGAACCCUCUUGAAUAGUCAUAUUUUAACGGCUAAAAUUUUCCUCUUCCUUUUUCCCAUUUUAAGAUUUAGAAAUAUCCUGCAAACUCACUGAAUGUUGCUUGGACGAUUAAAACAUGAUGAUAACGAUUCUUAUAUACAGAUUCUUGAUACGCCCAGCCUUUUGUCUGAAGGCUCUAAAGGAGUGAGAAGGAACAUCUUCAAGGAAAAACCUCCACAGUCUGAUGCAUCCACGAGCAGUUGUUGCUGAAAUUGAUUCAUUGUCUCUAACUACAUUUGCUGGUUGUUUCUACAUUGUUGUAAAACUACAGUAGAGGAGCAUGGUGUUAUAGCUUUUAUUUGUCUCACUCUCACAAAUUACCUUACAAAUUGAAAAGGGUGGUUUUGUCUUCUUGCUGGCUUUCUUGUACAGGGAAAAAUUGAAAUGGAAAUAUAUGAUACAUGAUUUCAGUCUUUCUUGCUUUAAUUUAGUUGCUGUCCUCUGGACUUUUGUUUUGUUUCUAUACACUGAGUCAUAGAUUCAGUACGAUUAAAAGAUGAUUCUUGUUAAUGUAAGAGCUGGGGGGAGGGGGGUUGGGAAGAAGUGUCCCACCUGCAAGUGUUUAAUUGAAGGGCAUAUUUGGAUGACUUUUAAGGGGUUAUAAAAGGGUUCAAGGAAAAUCCAAAUAGGUCCUCAUCCGACUCAAGUGGGGUUGAUUUGAAGUCGAGUUGGGCUUUGUGACGGAAAGGAAGAACAACCCCGUUUGGUUGUAUAUGCAUAAAUUUAGCGAUCUAAUAAAUAGGAUCUUCUUUUACCGGUUACUCGUUUCUUUCACCGGUUCAUGGAAGGUAACCGCUAGAUUUGUUUUUUAGAUGGAGAAAUAAAAACCACUUGUUAGGGGCUUCUUUUUAUUGAACUUAUAAAGUUGGAGAAUGGUGUGACUAAAGGUAUCAGCUCGGUAUGUGUUUGUUACAGUCGAGACGUUAAUAAACUUAAAUUCUUGAAACGUUGAAGAGGUUCUUUUGAUUUCCUUUUAUGGAAGGUAUAUCAAGAAUGUAAAUAUUCUGAUUGAUUUGUGGAAACCUUUGAGUUCAUUAUGUAUGGUAAACAAAGUGAAUGUUGAUGGUAGUAGUAAAUGAGAUCAAAGUUUAUGAUAUGCUUUUCAAGAGAAGAAUGAUGGUAGUAGUGACCAAGAAAGAUCAAAGUUUAUUUCUCUCGUUGAUGCCGUAUAAAAAACAUUGUAAAAGUAGUAUGCUCCAAAAUUGGAAAAUAUAAGAGUUCUAUAAAAUGUUCUUGGCCAAGAAAAUGUGAAUAAAAAAUUCAAUUAAAUCGAAACAGUCCUUAAAUCUAUCAAAAUGUGAAAAAUUCUCAAUCUCUCACAAGUAUUGAAAACUCAAGGUUUUAAUUGAUGUUGGUUAGGUUCCUAAUAGUAAAUACUCUAGGACUCCGAUGUACAUCUUUAUGAUUAUGUUGUGUUUAAGGAAGAGAUUGAAAGACACAUACAAAAUGUAUCACCAACAAGGAUCAUCUAAUCCAAUAUGAGCCCUUACUUCAACCUAGUGUUGUUAGUCAAGAAAAAAAGACAUGAUUUGACGUUUUUGUGUUAUUAUAGAGCUUUGAAGGAAGCCAUUGUUCCACGUAGAUUUUCAAUCCUUGUCAUUGAGAAUUGCUAGAUGUUACAUAAGUCUUUCAUGUAUUAUAUGUUAGACCACAAAUUUGACUAUUUACAUCCAUAGAGGUUACUAUAAAUUUCUUGUGAUGCGUUUGAGUUAAAAAAGAACACUUCAACCACUUUUUAAUCUACGAUGAAUCAAAGUAUUUAUACAUGUUAUGUUUUUGAUAAAACGUCUUAUAGUUUUGUUUGAAGAUAUAUUGAUGUAUAGCCUCAACUUGAGACCCACGUAAUAUCCUCGGCCACAAUUUUCUAUUAGCAAACAUGAAAGAAAUGCAAGUGUGAGGAAAGUUGUGUGUGGAUCUAACUAUUCAUAAAUGGUUUGUGAAAGCAUUGGACGUGGAAACCAUUAAAAAAAGGUCAAAGAAGAUGAAUAUCUGUGUAAGAUUUGAGUGGAGUGGCACGAUGAUUCUCAAUCCCAACUUUUUUUUACUUUUUUUUAUUUGUCUUUGACACUUUUCUCCCUAAUUCUUCCCAAUUUUGGAGCAAUCUAGCUUAAUCUAGCUUAAUCUUUUGAAGAUAUUUGAAUCAAGAAUGAUGUUGCGAAUUUCAAAAAAUGAUAAAAUUUAGAUAGUUGUAAACUCUAAGCUAUGAGUAUAUAAUGUGAGAAGUUGACAAGACAUAAAAUUGAUAUAUUUUAGUCACGGACUCAAUAACUCUUUAGACCAAACAAGGAGUGUAGCUCACAAGUCGAAUCUUUCUAAUUCUCUCCUCUUCAUACCUUAACUUUUUGGCCUAAACACCUCGGUAAGUGCUUGCAUAUGUAUCGCUUUAUUUCUAUGUCACAUAUUAGACUCUUUCGACCACUACCCAUUAGUCCAUAACUAAUUUGAAAUGAUAUCUUUUAAGGAUUUCAUUGACAUGGGCUCCAUAGACACAUCACACAAAUGGAAAGGCUAAUUCUAUGUCUAAGACAAGGUGGCUCUCACCACCCGGGUAUUGUUAAGCUCUACUAGAAAAUAAGAUGUGAUUUGAAUUUAAAUCAAAGUUGAAAGAGAUUGUUACCUUCCCAAAUUGGUAGAAAUUUUGGUUGUAUUUUGUUUGAAGGUGAUCAAAAUAUCAAAAAAGAACCUUAGAUGUUCAUUCCUCAAGUGCUCAUAAAUUACAUUGAUUCAUCUUACAUAUUACACUUAGAAACAGGUCAUAAUAGCAUUUAAAUCUAAAUAAACAUAGGGAAGUAAGAAGAAUAAAAGUUCGAAAAUGAGAAAAAAAGAAAUACACAAUUUGAUUCCAAAAUUAUAUCUAAAGUAUAAGCAAUUUAGUAUGGAAAAUAUGAAAAUAAGGCUGAAGUUUUGCCACCAAAACAAACCAACAGCCAUGGGUUCUACAACUGCAAGACUGCUGAUUCCUCAUCUUCUUCUUCCCUCUUCUUCUUCUUCUUCUCACAAUCCAUCAACAAACACUCGCACCAAAUCUUCAAAACCCCUUUCAUUUCCCAACCAUAAUUCAUUACCAACCAGGCGUUUGUUGCUUUUCUCCCUCCCCAUAGCCACUGCCUUUCUUCUCCCAAUUCCGGGCAAUCCAAUUCAACCCAGUUCUUCCUUUGCUGUGGAGAGCUUUGACCCUGUCAGCCGUUCCGAGAAAGAUGCCAGUGCCGCCAUUUCACGAAGAGUAUCUGAAGCUGUGGAGCUUCUCGAUAAAGGCAGGGAGUUGCAAGCUCUUGGUGAUUUCAAUCAAGCUCUUCUCUACUUCACUCAGGUUUGUACUAAUUUUGCAUCUUCGAAUUCGUAGAUUUAACGUCGAGUCCCCAAUAAUUUAAACAAUGAUAAGUUAUAGAAUUGUUGAGGAUUGAUGCUUAGCUGAAUUUUUCCAUUCUUUAGAGUCAACUAAGUUUUAGAUGUAAAGUUCUUGUGAUGGACAUCGUGUUAUCAGAUAGCAAUGGCUUUUUUCCAAAAACAAAUUAACAGGAAAAUUUUCAGAAAAAUUAAUAUGCUCUGGAGUGUUGUUAGUUUAUGUUAUUGUAUCUAUAAAUCUAAAAUGUAUGUUGGACAAAGCAUAUCAACAAAAAGAAACCUUUUAGGAAAUCCUGCAUGCAGGAUCUGGUGCAUAAAAGUAAGGCAUAUUAUCCACAAAUGAUUUACUUAUCUGACUUUAUGGAUAAUUCCCCAAUAUAUUUUGGCGACCCAUUGGGAUGUUAUUAGUCUUUUCCACCCACAUUUGGUGUGAUUAUGCGAUUUACCUAGUUGGAAUUUUCAAGUCUUAAGCAUACUGAUGGGUUUUCAGCUGAAUGGAUUAAACCAUUUCUUACAAAAUGUCAAAAUCGUGAAGAUUUGUGGAAAGGGUACUUGUCUUUUUUGUUUUCAGAUAAGUUGUAUGUAAGGAACUUUCUUGUAAGACAUAAGAUCCACGUAUUUUUUAAGGCAGUUCUAUGAAUGGAAUUUUGGAGGCCCAUUUGGGUGUGGUUUGUUAGAUCCAUAUGUUCUAAUCACGAGUGACUUAACUUAACAACACAGUUCUGUCACUAUCCAGAUAGAAGAAUGAGAAAACUAUUAUGUUUUUCGUUUUUAAUCGUGUUUGAGACUAGGAUCCGCGGUGGAUCAUUAUAUUACUGAUCUUCAGAAAUAUUCACUACUUCAAUUUGGAUUUGCUGUAGGCUUCAAAACAUGCAACAUGAAAUUACUUUCUGAUUUCUAAACACCUGUCUCGCAUAGACAAAAAUUCUAUAGCCUCUAAAUACUGAGUGUUCCUGAGGUUCAGGUAGGGGGCGACAAAACUUUGAUUAUAAACUUUUUUUAUUAUUUAUUUUGCUGAAGAAAACUCAAAACGAAAAGUGUUUAGCAUGUGACGAGAAGACUUCAGAUUCCUUUCCCUUUGAAGCUCAUAUUCAAUCUGCACUCCUCAUUUAAUUGAGAGAAAUUAUUUAACUAUUGAUUUAUUUGUCAAGUCAACGUAUUUUGAGUGUUAGUUCUUAUUAAAAAUUUGAUUUUAGUUCUUUUCUAAUUUCAGGUAAUUGAUAAAUAUAAAGAUUUUGCUUUCUCGGAUUAUGCCCGAGUAGGCAGAGCAUUGGCCCUGUACGAGAUUGGUGACCGAGAAGAAGCCAUUGCAGAGAUGGAGGAUGUUUCCAUAUCAUUGAAGGGAUAUCCAGGUACUUGAAUAAAUUUUGCACAAAUUUUGGGUUCUAGACGUACAGAUUGAAGAGGGUAUCACGUAGAUGCAGUGCAACAACAGUUUUAGCUAGAGAAAGAGACUUUAACAUACAGUAUACAAGUACUUGAGAAUAUAUAUAUAUAUAUUUAAAUGAUUCUUCAAACAAUUUUCCUGAGGUAAAAGUUUAGUUAAAUUAUAUGUUUAGUUCAUAAAUUUUGAGGUUUGUGUUCAUUUUAGUUCUUUAGCUUUCAAUAGUCGGUUAAAUUUUAAAAUAAUUUAUUCAAGUAAAGGUCAAAAUUGCAACUUGAAAGUGAGAGUUUAAGAUGAAAAUGGAUGCAUAUUGUUUAGAGUUAAAAGUAGAUGGAUGAUUAAGGCUAUGAUGGCAUAAUUGAAUCGUGCCAAGGAGCUUGGAUGCAACGCAAAUAACUAUAGAUAUGGGUCAUGGAUGUGUUACCAACAUAAUUAAUGCCAUUUAAAAAAGAGUCAAUAGUAUGCACAGGAUAAUUUUAUACAUUCAUGGGUUUGAGGUAUGCAAAAGUUUAUUUAUUUUUAUGUUAUAUAUCUAUUUAGGAUGCUCAACCAGUGUUUGAUACAUAUCUAACAAAUGUGGACUAGUAUUUAUUUGUACAAUUAGUGUCAAAUGCAUUUAUUGUAGUUACAAGAGUUCUAUGCUUGUAUUCUUUCUCUAUCAUUUUCUGGUGUGGUUGGAUUUUGUAAAACAUCAUUGAAUGUGGAUUGAAAUUUUGACUGCUCUCUCGAAGCUAUGUAUAGCAAGCCACCUAGAAUCUAAAAGAUCAUAAUGUUUAACAGUAGUACUCGACAGUUGGUGUCUUUUCUCUUACAUUAUGUGGCCAUAAUGAAUCAUGUGUAGUACAUAGUACUUACUGGCAUUUAUGUACCGGUAUAUUGUUUUGCAGAAGUGCAUGCGGCAUUGGCUGCAGCUUUAUACGUGGAUAAGCAUGCUGCAUUGCUGGCUGAAAAUCAAUUCACCAUUGCAACCUUGCUUGAUCCUCACUAUGUGGAUAUCUCGUAUGUGAAAGAAACAAAGCACUGGCCUCCUAGUUUGAUCAGUUCUUUGCAACAUUUCUUAACACUUUCUUAGACAUUUGUAAUAAAAUAUAUACAGUUUCUGUCAUAAAAAACUCAAUUCCUUGUUUUGUAAGUGCACAAAAUUUAAUACACUUUAAACAUCCAUGUAAUUAUUAGUAGAAAUAUAGUUUAUGUUUACUCUCUUAUCCCCUUUGACUUGUAACAUAAAUUCAUUUCUUCAUUUAAACUUACCUGAUGCUCAUCCUCAUUCAUGUUCUGAGUCUAUUCAAUGCACCUUCUUUAUUGACGGAGGAUACAAUGAUGGUUUUGCUAGUUUUAUACCAUUGGAUAUAAGUAAGUGAAAUUACAAAACAUUUUUUGUAUUGGAAUCUUGAAUCUAUAAUUGAGUCAACUUCAUUCAUAUUUGUGUUAUUGAACUAAUCCUAGAAAUUGGACAGAAACUUUGAACACUUGAGCUGGAUAAUGGAUGUAUCAGAAUUGUCCUUAAUUAACCAAGGUUGAUUGACCUCUACAAGACAAUGGAAGUCACCAUUUAGGAAGGCUUUUCUUUCACGCUGAAAAGUCUUUGCUGUGACUCUGCACUCAUUUUUGUACUUUUAGUGCUUUCAUAUUAACUUUUUAAAUGGUGAGACCACAAUACUUUGUCCUAGAGUAACUAUAGGUCUUUAGUGGGUCCUCAUAUUAAUAAAAAAAAAAAAAAAUUGCUCUUUUAAUGCCAUUCUGGUGUUCAUAAAAUGCUUUCACACAUGGAAAUUUUCCCACUUCUUCAAGAAAGAUCACAGAAAAUAUUUUGCCACAAGUAACUUCUGGUUUGUAUAACCACAUCUUUCAAAUCAGCCUUCUCUUUCUGAUUUUUCAAUUAUUUAUAGUUUUGAUGGUUUUUUUGGGCAAGGUAAAGUCCCAUCAGAAGUACCUGCCAGUAAUUGCAACUAUUUUAGAAAGAUGCUGGGGAUUCAGAAUUCUGAUGUGCUCUCAUUCAUUCAAGCUAAAUGCCAUUGCUGACAGGCAAGCAGUGAAGUGCUUCCAGCAAAUUGAGUGGGCCAUCAAGCAUGUGCUUUGCCCCUGCCUUUCUAAAUCAUAUGCAAAUCUCUGCAGUUACUCAUACUAUUAUUAAGUUGUAAAGUAUUGAACACUUGUCAUGAUUAUUAAUCAGUUGUAUCAUGACAUUUACAGGCUUUCAAUUCUGAUGCUCAUAUUGGACAUGGGAGGCUUAUUUACACAUCAUCAAUGGCUCUGAUUGAGCCUCAGGUUCACUUAAUCCAAUCUGCUUUAUUGAUUUUCUUUUAUCAAAUCAAAUCAUACCAAAAUUUGGAUUGUGAACAUUUGAUUAAUGAGAAAGCUAGGUAUAUUAUAAUUAAAGUUUUUCCAAUCUGAAUAUAAUGAUACUGAAAUGCAUUUGCAUGUGAUUAAAAAUCUCCAAUGAGUGAAUUUUUUCUAUACUUGAUUGUGUACACUACUAGAUAUUUCUUCCAUAGCCAAUCAAUUUUGCUGGCUACAAUGUAAAGAUUCACAUUUGAAAGGGAAAAAAAAAGGUCCCAAAAGGGUUGAGGGAUAGAAUAUUAUUAUCACACAUUACAUAUUCCUUUUGUCCUCAACCCACUUGGAUCUAAGAAGCUUGAGUAGGAUUCUUGCCUUUGUUUUGGUUUUUGCACAACACUGACUUUGCAGAAGCAGAAGUAAUUGACUCAAAACUCCACCUCUAAUGGCCUUUUCUCUUGCCUCUACUGAAUCAUAACAUAAAAUUAUAAGUGAACUAACAGCACUUUCACUGCCUCCGUGAUCUGAUACUCUAAAAACCAUCUUCACAAUAACAUUUACACCAUCUGGAAUAUUUACCACUUCCUCUUUUGCACUUCUAAAUACCAAAAGUUUCUCAAUUGCUGCCAUUGCUUCUCGUGCAGAGCUUCUUUCUCUUUGUUGAGCAUUAGAAAUGUAUGAAAUAAGUCCAGUAACUGCACCUUCCACAACCAAAUUGUUGAUGUUUUGUUCCAAGUUACUUAGUGAACAUAUGGCUUUGGUUGCUGCAUCAGAUGCCUCUGAGUUGUGGUGUAGAAGUUGCACGAUUUCUCGUAAAAGCUCGGUUGUGUUUCCGAGUAAAACACUAAGAUCUUUAGUCUCAACUGAAGAUGAAAUUGCCUGAACCAAAUGACACAAACUGAUCUUGAUCAUGGAAGUGCCAUUACUGAACAAAACCAUGAACCGUGAUAGUUUUGACUCAUCCAUUAGCACAUUUAGGGACUGUAUCUGUUCAAGAGAAACCAUAGCAACCAUAAAACUAAGCGCUUGCUCUACAAAUUCCUGAUAUUCUUGUGAUAGUUUGGUUUCUUCUUGCCCAAAAAUCAACUCCAAAAGCACUGACAAGAACCCAAUUCGGAUCAAACAAGAAUUACGAGAAGGAAACUCUUCACAUAAAAUUCUAACUCUUUGAAGAACUUGUAGCUUGUAUUCAUAAGAAAACUCAUCAGAUUCAAGUUUGAUUCUCAAAGCAGCCAUAGAAUCAAUAGUAGAAACACAUUGAGGGUUUAUUUGGUCACUCAUCUGAAGCCACUGACAAAUCAAAUGACGAAGAGUAUUAUUAGGAACAAAAGAAGGAUCAUGAAGCUUCUGCAUUGUAACAGGACAUGUAAGAUUCCCUGAUGCCAACCAUUUCUCAAUGCUUGAUCUUUCAUAAGUUUGUCCUGUGCAAAGAGUGACAGGAUCCUUAAACAAAUCAAGACUUAUUGGACAUCUAAACAAGUGAGGGAUGGUCUCAUGAUCAUCAGCUUCUUUCAUGGAGAAGAAAAAGAAUAAAACUAAUUACAAAAACCAGAGAAAGAAGAGAGUGAGUACCCCCUAUUAGAAAUUUGGUAAAAAGAGAGAUGGAAAUGAAAUCUUUGAGAGAGGUGGAAUGAUAAAAAAGGAAGAUACGGUGGGAAAGUUUUCAAAAGAAAGAGAAAAAAGGGAGACCGAUUGAGUUCUUAAAGGCUUUUCUUUUCAAGUCACAAAAGAAGAACACAACAGUGUGAUAUUUGAGGAAAGGAAAAUGGAGACCCCAAAAGCUAAAAGGCAUAAAGAGAGAUGAAAAACAGGUAUAGAAAUUGGAAUCAGAUGGUAUAAAGGUGGAUUUAGAAAGCAAAAAAAGCUGAAGGAAAGAAAAGUAGGCAAAAUAUUAAGACUUAAACAGUGAGUUUCUAUGGGGGAAAAGUGUACUGAUUUUGGUCUGAGCUAAUGCUGUUUCACACUGGCAGAUAUAACGAAAAAAAAAGAUAAAAGAGUAUAGAUCAGAAGAGAGGGACAAAGUAGAGGUUAAUCCUAGUGAGAGAGAUGAACAAAGUAAAAUGAUAUGGAAGAAGUAUGAGAAAAAUUGGUCCCCAUUACUCUAAUAUAGAAUUCAGUCAAAGUGACCCACCAUCAAAUAAUAAUAAUUAUUAUUGUCUUUGAAGUUUGAAUCAACCCUCAUAAUAAGAAAAAAAAAUGGGGAAAAAAGGAGAAAAAUAAUGGGUCUAAUUCCCUGUGAUAGAGAGAGAGAGAGAGAGAGAGAGUUUUGACUAAGAAUUUUUCUUAUUCCUUGAGAUAUAGAUAGAGAGAGAGAGUUUGACUGUGAAAUGUUAAUGGUAAUCACAAUUAGAUUUUGAUGAGAAUUCUGAUCUCAAUUAUGAUUAUAAACACUCAUACCAAUCAUAUAAUGCAAAUCUAAACUGGAUAAUUCUCUAAUAUGUGUACUAAUAAAGGUGGCCUUUUUUUCCCCUAUGUUCAUACCUUUAAGAUCUUUCAAAAUUCAAACAAAAUUUGAAUUCUAAAUUUUAUAUAUUUUAAAAUUUUGGUUUUAUUUUUAGAAAUUGGAUAUGAGUUAAAAAGAAAAAAAAUAAACCCAAAAUUUAAAAAUAAAUAAUCGAAUAAUUAUCAAACGUAACCUACGAGAUCAUGUAAAUAUGUACUUAAUUACUUUAUUUGAAGUUGCAAUUACUUGCUUGAUCUAGGCCAUAAAUAUGACAUAGGAUGGUCUAACAAUAGCGAAUCUAUUUGAACAAUAAUCAUAUCAAUUAUUAAAAGUUGAAGCAGUUUACACAACAAAAUGGUAUAUUCUUUCCUAUAUAGACAUGAUUUAACGACUAUAGAUAUAAAACAGUGAAGAAAAGUCAGAAUAGAUGACUUUUACUCUUUAAAUUUUUAUUUUUUCUUUAUAAAACGUAGACCAACUCAAAUAUUUAACUAAAGGAAUAGUCAUUUAUUUGAAGGUUCUAAUUUUUUAAGAUAUAUUAAAAUGAAACUACAAAUUUCACCUACAUCCCAAACACAUGUAAUGAGCUAAUAUACAUAAAACAGAAAGAGAAAAAUCAAUUGACUCUCCCACUUUGAAUCGCAAUUAUUUAUUUUUGAUUCAUUUCUAUUUUCAUUUAGAAGUUGAAAAUUAUUUACAUAAAAUUAUUCUUAAAAAAUAUCACAAAAUCUCUCUAAACAAGUAAAUAAAAGUAGAGAAGGAUUAGCAAGUGAAAAGUUACUCAAAUUUGAUGAAAAUCACUCCUAUAUCUAUUUAGAUCCACGACUUUAAAACAAAAUUUUAAAUAAGAGUCUAAAUAAGUUAACUUAAUUAAAUUGAUAGAUAUAUAACAAUGGGUAAUUAGUAUAAAGUUAAAAAAGUUUUAAUUAAACUAAUACAAAGUCAAAAUUUAAAAGUAUAGAUUAAAUUUUGUAGUCCCUCUAGAAGUGAUGUUAAAUGCGCAACAUCAUUCAAGUAAUUAAUCCACUUAGAAUCCAUAGUUUUUGUUGAGUAGAGAAGUCUUCAACAAUGGAAUUCCAUCACAAACUAAGAACCUUUUUUGUAACAAAAAGAGGCCAAAUUUAAUUUGUUCACGUAAAGUGUUACAAAAAAAAGUCACUCAAUUUUAUAUUAUAAAUAAAAAGAAAGAAUGGAAACUACCAAAUUAUGGAUUAUACCUGAUUAUGGAUUCAAAUAAAACUUUGUCUCAUAUAUAUAUAAAACUUAUAGCUUAGCUUAUAAGUUUACUUUAGAAAGACUUCCACAUUUUGCUUCCAAACCGUCUUUAAAGUUGAGGGACCUAAUAUUCAUUAUACAAAAUUAAAAGUCAUGAUAUGUAAAUAAUUAAUAAGGUCGUAGUUGUACAAUCUAUAAAACAUAUGUCAUAUUUGAAUAAUUAAACGGUCAAAGAUCGAGGAUGAUAAUGAUGACGAACUAAGUUGAUUCAAUGAACAUGAUACUUUUAUAUGUAUAUUCAUGUUAAUAUGAUGAAAAUUGUUGACAUGAACAAUAUUUGAAAUGUAAGAUAUUUAUGAUUUAGACUAGUUAACAAUGAAAUGAUGAAAAAGAGAAGGAUUAUAAGUUUUGAAACGUUACAAAAACGUUGGUUGAGUUAGGUCAUAUUUUGAAUAGUGUUGAAAGGAUGAUGUUUAAGAUUGAAUGCAUGCACACCCACCAUAUUUAUUUGAAGUGUGCCGGCCAAAGGCAUCAUCACAAAAACACAAAUUAAUUCUAUCAACACUUUGACUUUUUGACUCUCAUUAUAUACACCAAACUUCCCCACCUCAUGACUUCCUAAUGUUUAGUCUAUUUUUUCCAAUAGUGUGUUAUGGGGAUGAUCCAUUGCCCAUUAUGAACGAAGGGGUGAUUCCAAAUUCUCUCCAUAGUCCCACUUUUAUCAUACGACUUUCAAACGUGGAUCAAACUUUAGGUAUUUGUGUAAUGAUGUCAACCAUAUAUCGUGUCAUUUCAUUGAGGUUUUAAGUCUUAUUUGUAGUCGUUUGUCAAAAUUCUAGAAGCUUUUUUGUGACGGUAUUGUGUGAUUAUAUUAUAACAUCUAGAGGUAUAAUAAUUUGUGUUUGAAGUCAAGCAUAUAGAUACAUACACAAACAACUUCUCUAACUUCAUAAUAUUGGACAAAAGUAUAUAUCUAAAAGUGGUAUUUGCAAAGUAUAUAGAGAACAACCCACUAAUGAUACAAAAAGUAUUUUCAAAUUAGACGAUAAGAGUUCAAGAUGAAGGAAUCAUCAAAGUACGUUUAUCGAGAUCAAAAAACUUACGAUAUACUAAAAUAAUUUCUUAUAUAUAUAUAACAUGAGUGGAAAAUGUAUAAAUCGUUAGAAAAAUUUCUCAUUUUAUUCUCUAAUAUUAUGCAUAGUUUUUUGUUUUAAGCUUUGUGAAGACCCAUAAAAUGUAUUACAUAUACUUAAACACAUGGUUGGAUUGACAAAAAAAAAAAGAUGUUUUAAAUAAAUCAUUUUCAUCCAAACACUUUGUAUAACAACUUAGUUAUACUUAAUUACAUUCUUGAAGACAAAUUUGUUAAGUCUGACAUAAUCAAAGUGGAUGGUUGAUAUCUAUAGUUUCAAAAAGAAAAAUAAAUAGCAAAGAGAAAGUACUUGUGAAUUAAAUCAAAGCAAUGAGAAUGGUUAAUUAAGUAAACCAAUAUCCACAAAAGGUAAAAGACCAAGUUCAUUUCCCUUUCAAUGUUUACAAUAUUUUACACCCAAUUCUUUUAAUUUGAUAAAAAGGAAUUCAAAUGUCAAAAAGGAUAGUCAAGAAUAUUUUAGCUUUAAUGUUCCCUCAAGAUUAGGUAAGUUUGGCCAAAAGAUAUUGGAAGAGAGAGAGAGAGAGAGAGAUAUCCAAAGCCACAAAAAGACAAAUAAAUGAGCAAAAUACACAAACUAUUCAAAAUAAUAUUUUUUUAUUUUCUUCUUCUCUUUAAAAAUGAAGAAAAUGAACUUUGAACUUAAUCUUGUCGGCUUCUUCAAUACUUUAAUUUGAAAUUACAAUAUUAUUUCUUUUUAAAACAACUAUUAAUUAAUAAUCUUUUGUUAGAGACUUUUAUCUAAAGAAAAUAAAAUCUUUUAUUGGACUUUGUUACAUUCCUUACUUUGUACCCAACAAUUGUUUGAAGAUAAUAAACUAAUAGAAAUGUAAACAAAAAUUCUUACAUUGAUCCAAGAAAAAAGUGAUCGUGGAUAUAUAUAAGCAAUUAUUUGUAUUGAUAAGACUUCUACAUAUGGUCAUGAUUUGUGAAGUUGAAUGUAGGUAAGAAAAGGAAUGUAUAUAUAUAUUUCACAAGUUUUUUCCCUAGGUAGCCACUUUAGGUCAUUUUUAAAUGGGUACUAUUGGUAUAAAUUUUUAAGAUAUCGAUCCUUUAUUUUUUUAGUUUUAGUAUACAUUCAAGUUUUAAUUCCUUGAUCAAAGUGAGCUUAGUUUAACGGUAAUUGAUAUGACUUUCUAUUUUAGAGAUGUGAGACGUUCGAAUCUCUCAACCUUCAAUUGUUGUACUAAAAAAAGUUUCAAUUACUUGUAUAUAUUUCACCUCAAGCUUUAAUAAUUAUUUUUAUUCAUUUAGUAGUAAUUAAAACUUUAAAGGGAGAGAUUAUAAAAAGAAAAUUGAUAGGGAUUGAUUUAUUUUGAUGCAUUGUGAUAAAUUGAAUUAAUAUUUUUAUCGACGAAUUGUAAGUAACGCCCUCGAACAAAAUUUGUAGAUCCAACAACUGGCUCGAUUAUAGUCCCAUUUUGAAGUUAGGUUUCACGCAAUAACAUUUGCAUAUAUUCUAAUAUACUCCUCGUUGAAACUCAUGGAGAGAUAAUCAUUUUUACCUCAUGAUAUGCUCAUAUUUUCUUUGUCAACUCAUCAACGUGGAAUCCAUAUCUCUAUGCAUAUUGUAUAAUUAACUUACCAAUUAUACAUUUCAUUCUUCACACACACGCACACUAAAAAGAAAUCCAAUGUAAUUUUAUUUCCAUGCUACUAUUCUAGGCAACUUUUAAGUAGUUAGUCAAUACUUAAUUAGCGGUAAUUUGAUAUGAUCUUCCUUCUAUCUAUUGUACUAAAACGCAAACUUUUAGAUGGUUAAAAGUUGUUAAGUGUUUAUUGUGAAUUUUUUGGUCAAAUUUUGGUUGAAACAACACUUCAUAUAUUUUAUAUAUGUGUGUGAUCUAACUGUUGGGUUGGCCAUGCCCAUGCUCUAGAUGAACAUUAUUUAUAAUGAGCCCUCAGUCCAUGUAAUAUUCCUCCAAUUAAAUAUUAUAAACAUGAUGAGAAAAGGGAAAAUAAUAAUAAUCCAAGACAAAAUUAAAUGAGGUUUAAUAAUUAACUAAGAUUAUAUAUUGGAAAUUCAAAUAUCAUCUAAACUCAAAUACAUCUCAUCCAAAUAAGAAAGUUCACUUUCAUCAUCAUCAUCAUCUUCCUCAUAACAAAACAUACUUCUUCCAAUAAUAUUAUUGUUUUCUUUUGCUUCAAAUACUCUACAUACAACCCAUAUUCCAAACUCCUGUUCAAAUCACAACACAUACAAUCACCUUAAUAAAUCAACCCAACAAUAAUGUUUAAAUUAAAUAACCUAACAAUUCGAACAAUCUAGACUAUCCAAUCUAAAUUGUAUAGACUAGGUUAGGGUAACCCAAAAUUUAGAAAAUGUAACCAACAACUCACUCUAAUCUAACUCGAAUUUUAAAGAUUUGGUUCGAUUGGGUUGAAGAUACAAUCAUUUUGGGUUGCCAAUUUGGUCCAAAAACUUUCCAUAAUCCAACUCAAUCAACCCAUUUACCUUCACCUAAUUAAUCUCUAUACACAAUUAUAAAAUAUACCAUCAUUCAACCACUACUACAUAGUUUUAUGUUUUUCUCUAUUUAAUUUAAUUAUGCUCUUAGGAAAAUACAUACACUAGUUAAGUUUUUUUUCUUGAUAUGGAUUGUAUAGUUAUAUAAUCUUGUAUCUAUUCAGUAUUUGAACUUUUGGAUUACAAUUUAUGUGAACCUCCAACUUUAUCAAAUAGGUUAUUGAUUUUCUUUCAACUAUUUUUAUAAUUUACAUACCUUAGUGAUCGUAAAACAUUAAUAAAGCUUGAAGUCUAGAUUUGUUAUUAUUUUUAAAAAAUUUAAUAUGUCGUGAACUUAUUAAAUACAAAAUCUAAAGUUUAAAGACACAUUUAAUAUUUAGGAACCCUUUUACCAAACUUUAAAAGUUUAAGAGAUAAAUUUGUAAAUGAAUCUGCAUCCAAAUUAUCUAAAUACUUUUUUGGUUUUUUAAGCUUUUAAAUAUGAUUUUCAUUUUGGUCCUUAAAAUUUCUACUUCCGUUCCUAAGCUAUAAAUUUAGUUUUUAUUUGGUGAUAAUACUUAUCUAAAUUAAAAUUUAAAAAGUUACAUUUUGCCAUUGUGUUUGAGUUUUUAUUUCCAUUUAGUCUAUAAGCUUUAUAGUUUUAUACUUUUACUUAAGAUAGUAAAAAGACCAUAGUACCAAAACUAGUAAUUUCACAUAUAUUUUUUUAUUUAAUAAAAAAUUAAGUACUAAGUGCCAACUAGAAUGAACAUAUACUUCAUUUAGCAAAAAGUUUGUACUACAAAUUUCAAGAUUAGAACUUUAUUGAUUAUUCACUCCACGUAUUAUUUUUCUAGAAAAACACCCGCCAUACCAAUUACUUUGUCUGAUUUUGAGGGGAAAACAUGGUGAUCGAAUCUAUAACGAAAUGAAAAAGUGUAAAAUGAAAGAAAACGAAAAACGAGAAACAAGGAAAAAUAGUGAAAAUGUAAGAUUCUUGAGUUGUUUCACUUACUGAUUUUGUUUGUGAUAGAUUAUUGUUGUUGUUUUGAGAUGGAUGAGUAUGAUCAUGAGUGUUCAAAAGGUAGUUGUAAAUGUGAUACUCUUGCAUGACCCAACUUGUUUGAAUGGGUGUUGGUGAUUCAUCAUCUUCUUCUUGAUCACCAACAAAGAAAAUAUGAUAUUUUUUGAUACCCACUUCAUCCCCAUUGGCACCGCAAAAGAUUGGUUCAUCCAUUAAAACAUCUUUCCAAUAUCCACUCUCUGUUGCUCUACUUUCUCCCACUCUGCUGAAAAAGUAAUGAAUGUCCCCAUUUGACAGUGUUUUACCUGUGAAACACAAUAAAAUUUUAACUUUAAAAUAUGUGUUUUGGUUGUUUCAAUUUGGUUCAUAUAGAUACAAAAUUUAUAAAUAUAGAACUUUUACUUUUCACUUAGUAUUAUUGCUCUCGAAUUUGAAACUUAAAUGAAAACUAAAACAAAAACUCAAGAAACAAAAACAUUUUAAGUUCUAAUGAAGUCUACAAGUUUUAGAGAAGAUAAAACAAACUAGAAUCAAUAUUUACUUUAAAGGAAAACGUAAAAUAACACACACAUAUAUAUAUAAAUUUUAAAAGCAAGAUCUUAUGCUCUUCCAAUGCUCCUCAUCAAUCUAACUUAAAAGCUAGCUUGACUUCUUGUACCUACUGCAUGCAUAUAUAGCUAGCUAUAUUGUUCUUCGCAUAAUAAGAGAAAAGAUAGAGGGGGGGAGAGAGAGAGAGAGAGAGAGAUUAUGUAUAUAUUAUAUUAUACCAUGGAAUUGCCAAGGGUUAUAGAGAUGAAGCUGAAGAUGAGGAAUAAUAAUGGAAUUGGAAAAACGAUGAUGAGAGUUAGCUUUGUGAUAGAGAAAGUGAAGCACAAGGUCUUCAUCAGUUGGGCAGAAUCUAAGACCAGGAGGCAACAGAUUUAAGCUAUUAUUUCCACUUAUCCCACCUUCAUCCAUAUUAACAAACUCAAUCAUAAUAAUAUAAAUAACAAAUACACAAUAAUAGUAUUCUUUUCUUUUUUCUUUUUGAGGAGGUAACUAGGUUAAGGCCUAGUAGGUUUUAAUGGAGAAACUUUGCACCACAUUUGGCCUAUUUAUAUAUAGAAAUUAAAUGCAUAUAUGAAAUUAAAUUAAAUAUAUAUUUAAGAAGAGGAUAAUAUUAGUGCAUAUAUGUGUUUUGUUUCAUUGAUUUAAUAAAGGCAUUUUUUCCCAACACCAUGCUUCCUUGACCCACACUUUUGGAAUGAAAACAAAAUCAAAAGUAACUUUUUCUUUUGCUUUGUUUUUAUUGUAAAAGAGACACAAAAAGAAAAAUAAAGAAAACAGUAACUACUACUUUAUAUGGUCUACUAACACCAACUUGUGAUCAUAAACUUUAGGUUUAGCUUACAUUUAUAUUUUAUUUAUUAGGUAUAUGGUGCUAUAAGAUAAUGUUUAAGUUAAUGAUGGAAAAUUAUUUUCAACCAAAAGAUGAAAUUUUCAGUACUUUUUUGGGGGAGAAGUGACAAAGCAAUAGCAAUUAAAUGUUGUAAUUUUGUUUUAUUUAUAGAAGCAAUGAAUUAAUGGUAUUUAGUGAGAGUGAAAUGGUGUGGAUUGCAAAUGGAUGAAAUGAUAAAUGGGUAAUCAAUCAAAUCUGAACAUAGUGGGUGUCGUUGUUUGAUGAACUACUGCCUAAAUCAUUUUGUUUAAUCUAAUGCAUAAUUACGUUUAAAUUAUUCCCUCUCUUUGAUUAUUGACUUCACCAAUAUUUCUACCAAACAAAAAUAGAAGAUGAGAUGUAUUAAUCCACUAAAUGUUCCUUUGGAUUUUAAAGUCUCUAUCUAGUACAAUAAUAAUGACAAUUAUAUAUGUAGAGAGAAGAGUCACACCCUAACAAUUUAAUCGUGAAAGAAAUUAUUAACAUUUUGGGAUAGAUUUGAAUAAUGUUAAAUAUAAUCAUCAAUAUUGAUCCAAAAACUUAAGUUAAUAAGUGCACGUUCUAACGUUCAACAUUAUUAAUAUGAAUUCCUUAGGGUUGCUUGCUCAUGAACAUUUUGUAGUAAAGGAUCUUUCCAAAGAAAAAAAGAUUUGAGAGGUGUGAGAAUUGAUUAUAUAUUAAAGAUGAAAGACAAUUAUCAUAUAUUAAAAAUACUUAGAAUAUUGAUUGAUUUACAUAGUAAAGACAAGAUUAUCAAGGUAUUAAAACACUAAUAUAUACCUUCAAAAUUCCCAAUAAAUCAUACCAAUAUACACAAACAAACAGGAUGAAACGUUAGUUGACUCACCAAUUGAUCAAAAACUACUUUAAGUUUUUUUUAAAAAAAUAAGUAACAACAAAAAUAAAUAUAAAAAUUAGUAUAUUAUUAGAUUAAAAUACUUUGUGAAAGGGAUCUAAUAAUAAGUGGUGACAAAUAUAUUAUUUUAUGGAGUGAUGUAGAAUCAAAUCUAAUGAAGCCCUUAAAAUUAAUAAACACUCACGAGAUCGAUCAUUCAUUGUUUAUAAAAAAUACAUCAUCAUUGUUUAUAUGAAAGCAACUUCUUUCUAUUAUUUUUUAUUCUCCCAUCUCAUCAUUUUGUUGGAUGGGAUCUUAACACAUAUAUACAACAGAUUCUGCCAAUUAGAAUAUCUAUAUAGUUCUUUGAAAACAAAACAUAUAAUUCUAAUCCAAUAUAGUUGACAGACAAGUUUUACCACUCCAACACAAUUUUUUAUAUUAGAAACUUUGGUAACACUCUACUCCCUGUUAUGAUCACUUUCCUACAUAGGAGAAUAAACAUGUAUUUAUGCGUGCCAUUUAGUUGCAUUCAAAUUUUCUCGUGAUAGUUGUUCUUUAUUUUAGAAAUUCAAUUGUCCUAUACAUUGAAAUAGUUUAUAGAAAUGAUGGGUUUCAAUAUGCCUUUGGUUUCAAAUCAUCCUAAUUAGAAACACUUUUAUAAGUUUGAAUGUGCUAAUUAAUUCUUGUUAAAUUCUCUUUUGUAAUUUUAGUUUUGAGAGGUGAGAUUAAAAGGUGUGAGUAAUACUAAAGUUUUGAGAGAGUGUUCUUGUAAUUGAGAUUGGAAAAAGAACUAUUUAUAUUAUGUGUGAUAUAUUAUAACAAUUUUCACACGGUAAACUUCUUUUUAGUUAGUAGGUCAUGGUUUUUUUCUAGGUUAAGAGAUUUUCGUGUAAGCCUUGUGUUUUCUAUUAUUUUCUUUUAAUUUCUAUAUCAUCUUUCUACUUAUUUUGUCAAAGAGAUGAUAGAUUUUUUUUUUCUUCUAACAAUUGGUAUUUCAUAGCCUUAAAUUCAUAGUUUCUUGAAUGUUUGAGUAUACGUUUUAUAGUUACCGCACUAUUUAUAUACUUUCAUGUCACUAUUUAUAUACUUUCAUGUUAGAAAAUCGUAAACACUAAACAUUAAACGUAUUAUGAAUAUUGUGAAUUGGUUCACGCUACUUAUAAAUUAUUUAGAAGUGCAGCAAAUAUACGUUAAUUAGGUUUAUAAGGUGAAUAUGAAAUUUGUCAGUAUAGAAAUGAACUCAACUAAGGAGAACAACUUCAACUUGUACUGAUCAUAAUUGUAUUAUGAAUUAUACAUGAGAAUAAAGAGUGGUAAGUGCAUUGGCCUAAUAUUAUUAUGCAUGCUUUGGUUUAUCAAAAGCCAUAUCAUUACGUUACAACUCAUUAGGCUAUUCAAAAUGAUUCCCAUUUAUUGUUUUAGUUGAGAGGUCAUAUCUAAAAGCAUUUUGAAGGAAUAAUCUCAACCACAAAAGCGAAGCCACUUUUGUGCUUAUCCCAAUACAAAAGGAAAGAAAAACACUUUGCAAUUGCAAUUGAGUUGCAACCCAACUCUUUUCCCAAUAUUAUCUUAUUUAUUUAUUAUUAUUAAUUAGUUAAGUUUGAAUGCAACUUGUUUGUAGUUGCAAACAAAUACUAUAUUAUUUGGCAUUUGUUAUAUAUUUGUUUUGAUAAUCAUUUAAACUAUUAGAACACAGUUCUAUACAACUAAUAAGUGAUGAUCACCAUUAGACAUUUAGGAGAGAUUUGUAGUGCGAAAGUUUAAGAACCUAUAGUUUAAAAAUGGUAAUGUAUAGGAAAUCUACAAUUCUGGAGAUAACUAGACAUAGUAAAAAAUUUAAGAAUCUCUAGUUCCUUUACAAUUAUCAUGAUUAUAUGUAUAUCUAAUCAUCCAAAUUAGUUCUAGAGUAGUACUUAGCUUCAAUGUAUAACUAGUAUUAGUCCACGUGAUAUAGCAUUAGAUCAAUAGUUUAGUGCUUUUUCAAAGAAAUUAAAAAUGGUUGAUAAGAGACGAAUAAAUUGAUAGAUAAUCAUAACUAUUAAUUUUAUUUCUUGCUCCUUUUUUCUAACCACCACUCACUUUAAAAAUUGACAUAUGUUUCUUUUUCGAUAUAGACAAGGCAUUAUUAGUUCAAUCUAUAUAUUUAAGUUAGCAUGGUUUAUUCUUAACUCAAUCAUAUAAACAUGGAAAUAAUCUUUCACCCUAUACUUACCUAGAAAUUUAAUUCAUAUUAGUACCUAUAAUAUAGGUAUUUCAAAAUCAAUAAAGGGAAGAAUAAUGAAUUGAAAAUCCCAUCAUUAGUUCAUCUUGUUUUCAAUCCUUACAUAAAAUUGACACAAUAUCCUAGCAUGCAUUUAAUCUUUCUUAUUGAUUUUAAAAGUCUAAUUUAUUUUAUAACAUUUAUAAAAACUUUUAGACUUAAUCAAUCAUUUUAUCAAUAUAUAACCUUAUAAAAACAUUCAAUUAAUAUGGAUUUUAAUUUAUUUAACUUUAAUUAAAUCAUAUUUAAUUUUAAUUUAAUUAAAUCAUAUUUAAUUAAAUUAAAUCAAACAAUAACUAAUUAAUUUGAUUAAAUCAUAUUUAAUCAAGAAUAACUUAAUUAAUUAAUCAUAUUAAUUAAUUUCCAUAUUAAUCAAUUAACAUGCAUACAAUACAAUAUAACAUUUAUAUUAUACAUUUUAAUGCAUGAACAUGUUAACCUAUGGUGGGAUUUUAAAUCUAUAUGACAUUCAAAAUGCACAUACAAAUUUAAAGUAAUUUAAUCAUACAUCACAUGCAUAAAUAAAAAAACACCCUAAAAUGGACUGAUUUUUGGCUCCUAAAUUAAGUUAAGUACUAAAUUAUUACAUAAUUAAUUUGGUGUAGUACAGAACCACUCCCAAAAACUUCGAACCGGCUGAAAAACUAACCGAAACCCCUUGAACCGGCCCAAAAACCAAAUUUAUUGGCUUGAACCGGCCCAAUUAACUAAACAGGCCCAGGCGCACACGGGUCGGGCGCAGGCGGGCGCGGCGGGACAGGCAGGAGGGCGCGCGGCGCAGGAGGGCGCACGGGCGCAUGCGGGCGCGCGGCACAGGCGGGCGCGCGGGCACAGGCGGGCGCAGGAGGGGCGCGCGGCGCGUGGGACGCAGGCGGGUCGCGCAUCGGGUCAUGACCGGGUUUUCGGGUCUGUGACCUUCUUUUCUUCAUUUUUUUUCAAUUCUCUCACCCGGUUGAACCCGUUACAGCCUAACUUCAACUCUAAUGACUUUUUUAGUUUUUAAAAAAUUACAAACACUUUGCAACAAUAAAAAUAAGCCAUUAACAAGGCUAAUUACAAUAAUUAGAACAAAAACACUUAAUCUAGAGCCAAAUUCAUAAUAUAUCCAUUUUAGUUCAAACCAAAAUUUAUCUAAUAAAUAUGAACCCACCACAUACAAUUGGGUAAAAAUGAAGCAUGCUCUGAAACCACAUGUACCAACUUGAUCACCACAAGUCCCAACUUGAUCACCACAAGUCCCAACUUGAUCAUUGAUGGUACUUGUGGUGAUCAAUGAUCAAGUUGGGACUUGUGGUGAUCAAGUUGGGACUUGUGGUGAUCAAGUUGGGACAUGUGGUUUCAAAGCAUGCUUCAUUUUUACCCAAUUGCAUGUGGUGGGUUCAUAUUUAUUAGAUAAAUUUUGGUUUGAAAGUAAUGGAGAUAAAAUGGGAUUGGAAGGUUUCUUUUUUCUUUUGUUGAGAUGAUGAAAAUGAUAAAAGAGGCAAAAGUUCUUCAACAUUUGAAAACACCUCUAUUUAUAACCUAAUUACAUGCAAAAAUGCAUGUAAUUCAUUUGCCAAAUCUCAACACCUAAUGUUCCACUAACAAUUAGUGGGCUAGGUGUCUAUAUCUCAUAUAGCCACAUAUCCCACUAAGAGUUAGUGGGAUUAUCCAACAAAAUGUUGGAUUUUUCCACUAACUUAGUCCAAGGGUAAAAUGGUCAUUAGAUAUUUCUAGUCAAAAGUCAAACUUUGACUUUUCUAAGUCAAAAGUCAAUAUUUUGACUUUUUACCAUUUUGUCCGUCUUGACUAAUUCCAACCUCCCGAGCAUGAAUCCGCAUUCAUUUUUCCAAAAUUCAAAUCACAUUUGAAUAUAAGGCCGGUCAAAGUUUGACCUUUUCAAAGUCAAAAGUCAACAUUUUGACUUUUUACUAUUUUUGACCAAUUCCAUCAAUUCUGAGCUUCUUAGUAUGAAUCCGCAUUCAUACUUAUAGUAUGUAAAACAUAAAGCUCUAUUUCUAAUUAGAAGACCGACGACUAUAUCACUAUAUUUGUCGGUUUCCCUUUCUUCUCCCAAUUCGAAACAAUUCGAGCUUAUUUCAUCACACUGUUCUAAGUUUAAUCCAUAUGAGCUAGCAGAGGAACCUAAUGGACCUAUAGAUCAUGGGCUCCAACGAUUCAAGAUUAACUAGCUAAACUCUUUUAAACCGAGUUAAUCAACAUUCGUUAACUAACGGGUCAUUCCACUAAAGUCCCGUAGUUGCACUCCCCUCACUAUAGAUAUAUUUGUGUCCAUUUGAUAAAACCAUAAUCAGUAAGUUAAUCCUUCACAGGUUGCUCGUAACCUUGGCUGGGUCAAAAUACCGUUUUACCCCCAAGAUUACAUCUUGCUCCUUAAGUCCCACUAAUCCACUAUUGAACAAUUGGUUUAAGGUUCAACCUAUAAACUUAAUCCCUCUCGGGCCAAUGAGAGGGUGGGGCCCCUUGUUCAAGACUUGGAUUCAGUGCUUAAGAGAGCAACCUAUCUACUAACCCUAAAGCGGGUAGGAGUGAAUUCCAUCUUGUACCCUAUGUUCCCAGCUAUCCACCGAUCUUACCCCUGAAAUGGGAGGCUUAUUGGGCCAACGCUGAUGAGCUGCCCUCACCUAUGCAGAUCUAAGGAUAAUCUCGUGUGAACAGGAGUUCAUAGUUAACUCAGGAUUAAGACUAAGUUACCUAGGUCAUCAAUAAUUGAGAUAGUCAGUUUUAAACAGUAAACGGUGUUAUAACGUAAAAAUGACUAAUUCAUGGUUCAGUCUUAUGUAAACAUUUUACAUAGGAUGCCCCCACUUUCAUGUCUCUACAUGAACGAUUAGGAUCACCUCGUUUGUACUACAAAGUGGGCCGCAUCCAUAGUUUCUCUAAAUAAGGCGCCCAACCUUUAUUUCAUAUACUAUAGACUAUUUAGGCUAUAUACUCGAACUUGAUCCACGUUUAUGUUUACACAUAAAGUUCAAGUUUAUUCAAAAAAUAGCCUUGGAACUUGAUUUAUUGGAUUUAAGAUUAUAAUAUUUAAUUUCUCAAUAACAACUUUAUUGAACAGAAUAUGAUUUACAAACUACGAGUUUUAGGACAAAAAAUUCCAACACUAAAGAGGUGCAAGAUAAAAAUAAAACAAUUAAACCCUUCAAAAACAAGUUUUGGGAUAAAAAAAAUGAGUAUGUGGCAUCACUGGUCACUUUUUGUGGAAAUUUUUUUCAAUAUUAUUCAAAAUGAGACUAUCUAGUAGUCAGAUUUGAAUUUUCGAUACUUUUCACAUUGUUCUAAAUUGGGUCGUUUCUUUGUAAGCUAUAGCAUGGACAUUUUUAGAACCGUUUUGGGUGCUACCAUAAUACAUCACUAAGGAGCACCAGUCUCGACCAUUAUGCAAUUUUCUGUGUCAUAGAGUAAUGCAAAAGAUAGGAUGUCGCACUUAUCAACCCACAAUCAUUGAGUUAAAGAGGUGCAAGAUAAAAACAAAAAAAAAAAUUAAAAUAAACGCUUCGAAGACAAGUUUUGGGACAAAAAUAAAACAUGAGUCUUAGAGCAUCAUGGAUCAGGUUUUAGUUUUUGUGGGGAAAAAAACUUUAAUAUUACUCAAAAUGACACAAUCUAGUAGUUAGAUGUGAAUUUUCGAAACUUUUUAACAUUGUUCUAAAUUGGGUCGAUCCCAAUUAAUUUUCUACUUUGUAACAAUGUUUCAUUUAUGUCAAUGGUUAGGUUGGAACAAGAUAUAAGCGUUAGGUAUGAAAACGGGUCAUGUUUGUUUAUUUUUCUAGAAAAAAAAAAUUGACAUAAUCCAACUCAAAUUUGGUUUCACAAAGAAGUUGUUCGACUUGACUCGGAAAAAAAUUAGAAACAAAGAGGAAGACCUUGAACAACCUAAAUUUGAUAGAAUUUAGGUAAUGAAAAUGAUUUGAAGAUCCAUGAAUGUGAAGGGCAGCUCAAUUAGAUAUGAAGUACAUAAUGAUCAUGUUGAUUAUUAUUGCAUGCAUUUAGGUUUGAAAACCAUGAAGUAUUGAGAAAACAUAAAAGUGAAAUUCAAAGUUUAAUUUGGAUGAUUGGAUGUUUUUGUUGAAUAUGAUUUGGGAUAGACACUAUUUUUCCACCUCUCUUAAUUCAUCAUUCGCCAAAUGGCUACACAAUUAUAUACAUCCAAUAUAUAAGAGAUAUAUAAUGAUGAACAAUGUUUCAACUUUAAUUAAAGUGAUGGAAUCAUGGAAAUAUAUGUAAGAACGAUGAGUUCGCAUGCCAAAUUGCCAUAAACCACUCCAUCUUCAUUGAUUUCAUAAGUUAUAUGAUAACCUUUUCUUUUUCUGUUUUUCAUUUUUUACUAUAGAUUUUUUAAAUUAUUAAUUUCAUUUUUCGUUUUCAAUUUUUGAAAAGAAUAAACAUUAGUAAGAUUGAAGAUAAACCCAAAUAAACAUUGGCCCAACAUAAGAUAAAACCCCAUUAUUAGCAAAAUGGGCUCAUAUGGGCUGUAAGCUUAUAAGGGUAACUACCCACGUGGGUCAUGUCUAUCGUGCGGUCAGCCGUCAACUCCAUAAUGGGUUGGAAUCUUUUUGGAUCUGGGCUAAUUGGGCCAAUUGGGUUUGCUCCAUUUAUCUUUAAAGCUAUGUUUGCUCCAUUUGAGUCUUGCACUCAUCCGUAUAACUCCAAAAGGCACUUGAGGCUUCUAAAGCUAGCUAGAUUUUCUCUAUCAAUAAACAAACUUGAAGACAAAGUUAGUAAAUUGGAUUAAGUGAUUUUAGUUUCAUUAGAGUGACCUAAAGUAAAAAAGUAGGAGAUGAGAUCUUCUGGUUUAGGGAUACACAGAGUCGUCCUAAGAUUGAUUUUGUGGAGUGAGUGGGCAUCCCAUUGGGUUUAACCAAACAACAUCUAGAGAUGUGAGAAAGGGUUGAAAUAGUUGGAUGGAAGAAAGAGAGAUGAAUGGAAAGGAAGUAAGUAUUCACGGGGUAACAAAAGUUUGAUAUUAUUAAAAAAGAAAAAGAAAACAAAGAGUUGAAAACAUGGAAAUGAGUUGUAAGGAAGGAGUGAUGGAAAAGUUUGGUUGGGUACCCAUUGACCACAAAACAAUGGUUCACGGGUGCCUUUACACUCUCUCACUACAUCCUUUUUUUAAUCACACAUUCCAACAAACACUAAGGCCAUUUUUCUUUUAACAAACAUAUACAAUUUACAUUAUUGAUAUCUUUUCAAUAUUUAACACAAUAUUAUAUAUAUAUAUAUAUGAAAAUUUGUAUGGAUGAAAAAUGAAUCAUAACGAAAUCAAUUUAUUUAACUAUUUUAAAAAAAACAUUAAUUUCAAAUAAAAACAAAGGAAAGAAAAUUGAUGUAUAAUUUCCACACAUAAAUAGUUUUAGGGCAAAGGACAAAAUAGAAAUAGGUAACUUUUGAGGACAACCAAGCAAUUUUUGAAAAAGUGAAGAAGAGCUGAAUCUUCUCUUUUGCUCUCAUCCACAAAAAAGAUUUGCCCAUUUUUUUCAUCUAUUUUUCCUUCAAUUUUAACCUUUUGUUUGAAUAGGAAUUAAUUCUCCACCACACAAAAUAAUGAAAAGCUCAUAAAUCCAAAUGCCUUUCUUACAAAAAUAUAAUAACACUAAUCACCCUUCAAUUUUUGUGGUCCACUAGUUUUGCAUGUAAAUCCAAAUCUUUGGACCCAUGGGGUGGAAAAAUUGAAUAAAUAUCUAAAUUUUUAACAUACUUUAUACUAAAUAUCAAUUCAUACAAAAAUAGAUUAUAAAUGUAAAGGAGUACUGUAUAGAAUAGAGAAACACCUCAAAUUAACUACAUAAUUUUAAUUAACAUUUAAGUUAACUAUACAUUAUUGUUUACUACAUGUAACAUUAAUACAUAAUAGAGAGAAAGUUUACCAAAAGAAUGUAAAUUGAACUUAUGGGUUCACUUGCAUGGUAAAAUUAGUAGUUACAAAGUAAAAAUGUUAUUAUUAUCAUCCCUAUUAAUAAACCUUUCUUGUUGGCUAAAAUAAUAACAAAGACAUGAUUGAGUAUUAAUUUAGGAAACCACAUAAUAAAAGUGCUAAGAAAUAGAAGGGAUAUGUUAUAUUACUUUAUAGUAUUGAAUCAAUUAUAAAGGUGAAUGACAAAAAAUAAUGGAGUUAGAUUAGAGUAAUGUAUGGUCAUAUGUACUUAAUAAUUAAUUAUUCUUUUACAUUAUGUCAUGUUUUUAUUUAUUUAUUUAUUUUUUUUUGGUCCAAUUCAUCUAAUUAUCAAUACAUUAAACUUAAUUAUUCAAGUUCCUUUUGACAUUAAAACUCAUCAUUUUAACUCUAUGAAAGGAUUUGGAUGAAAUGUGCAGUUGUAAGAUUCCUUACCAUAUCAAUUAGCUAUUUGUAUUUUUAAUUUGAUAGGAUGAUGUAAUUAUCAUUCUACUACAUAAUAAUACAAUUGAAUGAAGAUUGAUACAAACAAAAAGUAGUUGCAAAUAUAGCAAUCAAACCUAAACAAUAACUCAUCAUCUUUCAGUCUCUAAUAAGUUUGAAGUAGUAAGAAAAAAGAAAAGAAAUGAAAUGAAAAAACAAAACACUAAGAAUAAUUAUAUUUAAAGAAGAGAUAGAAUGCCAAUGUUGGCAUAUUGAGAGAGAGAGAGAGAAUGAGAAUGUGAAGAAAACAGUGUGUGUGUGUGUGUGUGUUUAAGGGCUUAGAAAGAAAGCAGUGAGCUGAGUUAGUAAGAAAAACCCAAAUCAGAAGAAGAUAACUGAAAUGAAGAAGCAAGAAGAAGAACAACAUCAAGAACAAGAAGGAUGCGACAUUGAAGCCAUAGGAAUCACCUACAAGAUUCAAAUCCAUAACUCCAAAUCCCCAUUUCUCAACUUCUUCUCCACCUCAAAACCCUCCCUCCGCCAUCGCCAUGUCCUUUCCGACGUCAAUUGCCAAGCCAAAUCCUCCCAAAUCCUUGCCAUUGUCGGCCCCAGCGGUGCCGGAAAAUCCACUCUCCUCCAAAUCCUCGCCGGCAAAACCACCCCUCACGGCGGCUCCCUCCUUCUCAACCACCUCGCCGUCGACCCUUCCUAUAUCAACCGAAUCUCCGGCUACGUCCCUCAAAAAGACUCCCUUUUCCCUCUCCUCACUGUCGAAGAAACUCUGACCUUCACCGCCCGCCUCCGUCUCUCCCUCCCUUCUGCCGUCCUCACCGCCAAGGUUACUUCUCUGAUCGACGAACUCGGUCUGACCCAUGUCGCCCGUUCCCGAGUCGGCGACGACCGAGUCCGUGGAAUCUCUGGCGGCGAGCGGCGGCGGGUUUCAAUCGGCGUGGAAGUGAUUCACGACCCCAAAGUUCUUAUUCUUGACGAACCCACUUCCGGUCUCGACAGCACUUCCGCUUUUCAGAUCAUCGACAUGCUGAAAACAACCAUGGCUGAAGCUCAGCGAAGAACCAUCAUUCUUAGCAUCCAUCAACCUGGAUUCAGAAUCGUGAAGCUUUUCGAUUCCAUUCUUCUUCUUUCCAAUGGCUCUGUUUUACACCAUGGCUCUGUCGAACAUCUCGGACUCAACCUCACUCUAAUCGGCCUUCAACCUCCUCUUCAUCUCAACAUUCUCGAAUUCGCCAUUGAAUCCAUCGAAACAAUCCAACAAACCCCAAAUCAAACCCAAUUGUUAAUCCCUCACUCCCAAUUAAAACCCCCUAAAUUCACCCUGCAACAGCUAUUUCAACAAUCCAAAGUCAUCGACGAGGACACCAUCAAAAUCGGAAUCCACAAAUCAAUCCCUCACCAUUUCGCCAAUUCCCCAUUCAAAGAAACGGCCAUCCUCAUGCACAGAUUCUCCAAGAACAUAAUCAGAACAAAGGAGCUUUUCGGUUGCAGAACAGUACAAAUGUUGGUAACAGGGCUUGUUCUUGGUUCAAUUUUCUACAAUCUCAAAUUCGAUUUAAUUGGUGCUGAAGAACGCGUGGGGUUAUUCGCCUUCAUUCUCACAUUCCUAUUAACAACCUCGAUCGAAGCCCUCCCAAUUUUCUUACAAGAAAGAGAGAUUCUAAUGAAAGAAACCUCCUCAGGUAGUUACAGAGUAUCCUCAUACGCCAUAGCCAACGGAUUAGUAUACCUUCCGUUUCUACUAAUCUUAGCAAUUCUGUUCUCAAUUCCAUUAUACUGGCUAGUGGGGCUUAACAGAAACAUAAUAGCGUUUCUUCAUUUCAUGCUGUUGAUAUGGCUGAUUCUAUACACAGCAAAUUCAGUGGUGGUUUGUUUCAGUGCAUUAGUGCCAAAUUUCAUAGUGGGGAACUCAGUGAUAUCGGGGGUAAUGGGUUCGUUCUUCCUGUUCUCGGGGUAUUUCAUAUCGAACCAGGAAAUACCAAAGUAUUGGAUAUUUAUGCAUUACAUAUCAGUGUUUAAGUACCCAUUUGAAGGGUUUUUGAUAAAUGAGUUUUCGAGAUCAGGGAAGUGUUUGGAAAUGAUGUUUGGGGAAUGUGUAGUGAGAGGAGAGGAUGUGCUGAAGGAAGAAGGAUACGGGGAAGAAAGUAGGUGGAGAAAUGUAAUGGUAAUGGUGGGGUUUGUUUUGAUCUAUAGAUUUGUUUCUUAUGUUAUUCUUAGAUGUCGAUGCUGCAGGAAAACUGGUUUUGUUUAACAGAAAUGAAGAAGAACGAAGAUGAAGAAGAUGAAGAAGAUUGAAGAUCGAAGAAGAAGAAUAAGGACAAAAAAAAAUCUCUCUCUUCACGAGUUUGGAUUUGAAAGAUGCUCUUAGUUCACGUGGUAGUUUUAAUUGUAGCCAAAGGUUAUACUCACACGUGUUUCUUUGUUCUUUCGGAUUUUUAUUUUUAUUUUUUGCCCUUUCUCUCUAACUAUAUAUAUAUAUAUAAUAUAUGUAAAAUUUUCUUUUAAAUUAACAAUUUGGUGUGUGGUUUGUUCAUCUAAGUUCAAAUUUAUUCAACCAAUUAUUUAGUAGAGAAAAGCUUAAAUGGUGAAAGUGAUUUUAAGUAAUCAAAAUUUCUUCUUACAAAAAUUGUGAAGUAUCAUGAAUAUUUCUUUUACAUAAUUCUUUUCUUCGGUAAAAGAUAAGUUCAGGUUAAACAAAACUAUUUUUUUAUUUAUUUGCCAAAUAUGAUAUUUAACAUAUUAUUACUUAUGAAACACAAAUAAAAGAAAGAAAGAAAAAAAGAUCUGUAAACAUAGAUUCAGAAAUCCAUAUUAAUAGAGAUAAAUCGUGUUAAUACCAUUAAAACAUACAUGCUUUGAAAGAACUAAUUUCAAAUGUUAGUUGUUUUAGGAAAAGAACAAGCAAAACCGAGAACAAUGACUAAGCAAACAAAACGUAGAUCCAAUCACAACUUUCAUAUAUGCGUGAGUAGUGUCACCUCAUUUCAACAACAAUCAUGGUUCAAGAUUUGAUUUAACUAACAAUUCUAUUCAUCACUCCCUAACUAUAGAAUCACCAAUUCAAUCAAUUAUAUCACCAUCAAAGAAAGAAAAAAAAUGGUAAAAAGUAUUUUUAUUUUUGAAUAAUUGAAAUGCUCCAUAGUUUUCAACCUUUAAUAGUUUAUUUAACAAAAAUUGUAAAACAUAGAAAUAUAUUCUAAAUAAAAUAAACGACAUAUAUCUCACAACUCCACCUUAACAAAUUUAACACUUGAAAAUAAACAUCAUGAAUGAAGACUAAAAAUCCAAACUUUCAAAAUUAAUAAAAAAAAUUCUCAAAUUUGAAUGAUUUUUAGAAAAGCUCUACAAAUAGUGUCUCUUCCCAAACUCGGUUAUUCCAAUUCUUUUUCUUUACCGUUAUUUUCCCCCUUCUUCAUCAAUAAUUUAUAAAACACUCUCCCAAAUUCCAUCCCCACCCCAUCCCUUCUUCUAUAAAACAAUGGACAAACACACGGUAACCUCCGAUGAACUUCUCGGAAUCAAAAUCUACACCGAAGAACACGCCAACGGCGGUGGGCGGAAAAGACGAGCAAUGGCAAAAGGAAUGCAAAAAACACGCUCAAAAACCUCAAUGCUAGCUAGUAAACUUCCUUCCAACCGGCACUCUCCUAACCUUCGAAAUGCUUCUGCCGUCGGUCUCCGGCAAGGGGGAGUGCACGCGGGUGAACACGAUGAUGAUAUAUAAACUUCCUCUUGGGCUUAUGCGCUUCUAUCCUGUUUCUUGUUUCACUUCACAGACAGUUUCAAAUUAGGCGUGGACGGGAAAGUUUAUUACGGGAUCGUGACGCGGAGAGGGCUGGCGGUGUUCAAGACGGGGUUGAGUGAGGUGGAAGUGGCGAAGGAGGAGAGGUUAUGGAAAGCUUUCCUUUGAUGGUGGGAAGCAUUUGUAGUGCUUUGUUUUUGGUGUUUCCUAAUACUAUAUAUUAUAUGGUAUUGGUUGUAUGGCUAAUUGACUCUAUUACCCCCCACCUUUUUUUUCUUUUUCUUAAUUGUUAGGAUUUUUUUAAUAAUUAUUAUUCUAAUUUUACUAAACUAUAAUCACCAAUUCAAUCAAUUAUAUCUAUAAAAGAAGAAAAAAAUUGGUUAUAUCUAUAAAAGAAGAAAAAAAAUUGGUUGUAUGGUCGUGUAUGUUGCCAUGGCCUUUGUUAAUUCUUCGAAACUAGAAAGAACAAAGAUCUCACAUAUUCAUACAGGUGGAAAAGAUAGAAACAUGCAUCGUUUUGAUUGAAACUUCUUUUAUUGAUAGAGGACGAAAAAACAAAUACAAGUAGUCAUACACCUAAAAAACGAUCAUCCAAAUCAAAAGAUAUGACCUAGAAACUAUCCAUUUCUCAUGUGUCGUCAAAUUUUGCCUAAUUGCUUCUUAGAGAUAGUUUGUUUUAGCUCCAUUUUCGUCCUUACACUCAAUUGUGCUUCUUUGAUGCUUAAAACCAGUAAAAUAAUCAAACAUAAUAAGAACCUAGAAUUAAGUGAAGCUAGAUAACAUAUUUAUGGUGCUAUCAUUUAUUUACCAUUUCACACUAUAAUUUUAUUAUUUCUAGUUUAUCUUACCAAGCCAGUGUCAAUUUUCUUUUCUCAUUCUCAAUGUUCUUUUAUUUGCUUCAAAAAUUCAAUUUGAAAAAAAAAAAUGUGAGAAAGUUGAGAAUUGAAGAGGAAAAAAAAGAACAAAAUUAGUUUUUUUUUUUGUUUAUUUGAUUAAUUAAUUCAAGAAUGUUGAUUAUGUUUGAGUAUUGACAUGAAAUAUUUAUCGAAAAAUUAGGAAGAAUUUUCAUCAUUUGUUGAAAUCAAAGUAAGGCUCUCUCUAAAAGUGCUUGUAAAAUUUGGUAACAAAAUAGGGUUUAAACCAAAAGAUUAUAAAAGAAGAAAAAAUAAUAAUUACUAAUAAUUAAUUAACAUUGUUGGGGCAGCCCAAAGAACGGUUGUGACCUCCAUUGCAGAAACAGAAGAACAAAGCUCAUUUGGUUGUAAAACCAAUAGAACGAAUCGAAAGCCUCCCUUGAGAGUUAUACAGUUGAAAAUGGAGCUUCAAGAUUUUGCGCCAAUUUUUGGUAAACCCACCAGAGUGGAGUGGGUAAACAGGGGUUCACUUUCUUUGCUCCAAUUUUUGUUCCAUGUUUAUUCUCCAAAUCCUUCGCACCUCAGAUUUCUUGUUACUGAUUUUCAUUCUAACACUUGGGAAUCCACCAAAUCAGCUUUCCAGCUUGAGGAUAUGGUGGGCAUCUUUGAUUUCUCCCUGUACGUCGUCUCUUUGUUGCAUCCUUCUUCUUUGAUUUCUAUUAAUAUGUUGUUCUUGCUUCUUUUUUUCCUCUUAGCAAAUGAUGAAAUGGGAUUGUUUUUUAGAAUUUGUUGGUGCGAAAAGCUCUACUAUUUUAUGUAAUCUUUGAUACAGAGAGAUGACAUUGGAAUUGGAGGGGCUUUUUCAGAGUUUGUUGAUUAUAUUGUUGCAUCUAUGAAAUUUGGAGAUGUAAGGCUUUGUAUGGAAGGACAAUCGGGGAAAGAUGGUAAUCUUCCUGAUAUGUAACUAAUUCAAAUUCUCUUUCCCAUUCAAUAUAUUGUGAAACUCACUCCUUUUUUUAUUAUUCUACAGGUGCAGCAUCUGUCAAACUAAUUGCUCAGAAAUCAAAGGGAAUGCCUGUAUUUUCCAUUUCUCUCACAAAACUUGUUGACUCUGCUGCUGCUGAAGCUAUGGCAACUAUGUCCUUGGGGCUUUUUAACUCAUUAAAAGAAAAGGAGUGUUCACUUAUGAAAGGUUUUCAUCGCUUAUCUAUAGACUGCCUAUAUUCUGUGCUAUAGUCAUCAAAUAUGUCGAUAUCGUUUGGUUAGAAAAAAAAAGAAUACAUUUUUAUAGUGUUUGAACAGAAGGAAAGAUGUUGGAGGUUCUUAUGAAAUAUAGUGAUCGGGUGGGCUCAGUGUGUGGAUCAUUCUAAUUAGAUGGAAGGAUAGGCAUCUUUAGUUUCUUUUCCCUUUUUGUUCCAUCUAGAUUUUGGUAUUUGGCUUUCAUUUCUCUCAAAUAACUUCUCACAGCAUUCUACAAAAUUGUUUGGUAUUUUGUUAAGGCCUUAGCCACAAUUUUAUUUAUCAACUAUGGGGAAGGAUUUGAGAGUUCCCCAAUCUCUCCACACUACUCUAAUGAGAGUCUAUACCAAAAUCAUUUAGCCAAAAAGAUACCCACCCCCAACAUUCACAAUACCUAAAUAGGCAAACUCUAAGAAAGCUAACAGAAUACUUGGCCCCACUUUAACAGUCAUACUCCUAAGGGCCCACCUUACGGGAAAUUACUAACUAACUCUCAAUCAUUCUUUCUUCUUCCCACUUUUAUUCCUAUGUGAAUACACCUUUACUAUGGGGGGUCUAUCAAAUUUGUAUCUGAACAUUGGCAUGUUGCAUUUUUUGUUAUGAAUUAUGCAUAUACAAAAUAAUUGUCUUAUAUUCAAAUGGAUAUAUUAGAAUGUGUCAACUCUCCGGUGUGUCUGUGAACUUUAAGAAUACCUAAUUUUGGUUCCAUUCGUAUGUGAUGGGCCAAUCCAGUCAAGCUGAUUUGAAGUAGGGAAAUAAACACAGUACUCUCAAUCAAAUCUGUCUUGGGAAGCUGUUUCUUUUUAGUCUCCCAUUGGUGUGGUUUUGUAGGACUGACUCAAAUAUCAUGUGCGAACUGCUUGAAAAUGUUUGUACUUGAAAAUUACUUUGUUUAGACUUUAGGGUACCGUGUUUAUUGAACAACAAACUACGUGAUGUACAUGGUUUUAGUUUUUCUUUCUUUAUUAUUAUUAUUUUUUUUUGGUAACUGUGAUAGCAUAGUUUGAUGUAAUAUUCAUUUAUAGGUUAAAUUUAGAACAAGAUUUUUCUCAGAAAUGUUCAAUUUUUUGCAUGCUUGCAUUGAAACUUAGCAUCUGUAGCAUUGACUUUUCUCCUAUACUGUUCUUUCAGAACAAGAGCACUCCCUUCAGUUGACAACCAUGAUAUCAACUGAAAAGGUAUAUCCAUCUUCGUCUUGCACCACUGUAAAUAAAUAUGAUACAUGGUGAUGGGCACUUUUAGUUUUAUACUUAUCGAUAGACUUCAUUAAUAAAUACAUUUAAUAAUACACAAUAUAACGAUAACAAGAUUUCUUCUGAUUUCUUCUCUUCCACAGCCUCUCUUAUAUAUCAGAACUCAAACAGUUUACUCUAGUCAAUACUGUUCCCUGUUAUUAGUCUGCAUAUGUUUUGUUAAUUUUUACUUCCUUUGAAACUUUAUUUAUUAAAUGUUAAUAAGAAAAAAGAUUAAAAAUUAAAAAUGAAGAACACGGAUGUUCUUUAUGUCUCACUUAUUCUUUCAUUAUAUAUGACCUCAUGUAACUUUGUUAGCCAUUUCUUGGUUGAAAAACAUUUUCCAUUACAAUACCAAUUGCUUCCUUAUCCCCUAUGGAUUCAACUCAUGGGUCUUUGAGUUUCUCUAUUUUUGUAUUAAACAUUUCUUAUUUGAGAUUAUACUUUUUGUUGAUGUCAGGAAAAGAACGAAAAUAUCCAAACUCAGCUCGGGCAAUAUAGAAAGAAACAGAAGUUACAAAAUAUGAAUGCCUCAAAUUCUCCUGGUAUGUUCCUAUAAUCAAUCCAUUUAAGGUAUUAUGAAAUUAUAUGUUAUGUACUAAAGGACUGAUCGAUUUUUUCCGUUCUUCACAGAUAAAUCUGGCGUACAUAAUAUUGGCUUGACAAAAGCCACCAAUCGUGUGGUGCCAGUACACCGGAGGUCGGUUUCUCAAAGUUACAUUCAUCACAUAAUUCAAUUGAUUUAUUCCCAAUACUAAUAGAUGUACUUAGCAUUGUAUUUGAACAGGGCGAAAGCUAGGGGUGCCCUUCUGCAAGACUCUGAAGAUGACAAUGGUAGGUAGAGAAGUUGAAUGUCUUGUAUCCAAUCUAGUUUUGUACAGAAUUUUGAUUUCUGAAAAGCUGCUCUAGCCAAUCACUCUCUUCCCUUUGAAUGGAGAAAAAAAAUCCCGUGGUAUUGAGUUCCUCAAUGGUUUGCUUAAAAAGGAACAGGAAAUCCUUGUUUAGGGUCAAGAGGCUAUCUCCCUGUCGUUAUCCCAAAGCUUUAAAACUUUUGUUUCUUCCAUGCAAGUUUUACUUUCUAGCACAUCCACGUUAAAUGAUCUCAUUUUUUCAUAUAUUUUCUUUUAAUCUACACUAAUAGAGAUGUUCCUUCCAUUUUUUUCCCAUUUUUUCUUACAGAAAAAGAGCGCUCCCUUCAGUCGACAUUCGAGGAAAAGGUAUAUUCAGUCUCCUGUCCCCUUUAUGAAUAAAGCACUUUGUCCUUUUAUAGACGGGUUCUUAUUGUCUUGAAAUACCUCAAAAUUAGUACAAGUAUGACCAUAGUCGUGGUGUAUUUUUGGUGCCUUCGGAGCGUAUUUUCAUCUUGCUCAUUAAUUGUUUGUAAAUUUUUUAAUCUACUUUUGAAUAUGUCAGGAAAAGAAAGAGGGGUUGCUAAAUACAGAUACCUUGGCCAUUGUAGACAAUCUUCAUAAGCCUCCUAGUAUGUUUUUUAUGGUUCCCUCUAAAAUUUAAGCUUAUUUGUUUUUAUUGAAAAGAGAGACAACGAGUUCACACCAAUUUACGUGGAAACUCGAGUACCGGGAGAAAAACCACGAUUGUUUGUUGUUAUUAUUUUCUAAUGAAUAAAACAAUAGGUACAGGGAGAAUAAAUAGAGUACACAAUGGAAUAAAAAAGGAAAAGAUUUAGGAAAAUAAGGAAUACAUUCCCAUAAUCUUUCCAUAAUUAUUCUAGGAUUCUAACAAGGAAAAAGCCUAGAAAAAAAGGAAAGAAUUCCAACACUCCCCCUCAAGUUGGGACGUAAAUAUCAAUGAGGCCCAACUUGCUAACGCAAAGUCGAAGUUUGGUCUGAGAAGCCCUUUGGUAAGAACAUCAGCAACCUGUUGACUCGAAGGGAUGUACGGAAUGCAUAUGCUCCCACUGUCAAGUUUUUCUUUGAUAAAAUGUCGAUCAAUCUCAACAUGUUUAGUUCUAUCAUGUUGAACAGGGUUGUUAGCAAUACUAAUAGCGGCUUUAUUAUCACAGAAAAGCUUCAAUGGUGUCUCACAUUCCUGAUGAAGAUCUGUCAAAACUUUCUGAAGCCAAAUUUCCUCACAUAUUCCUAAACUCAUAGCUCUGUAUUCAGCCUCAGCGCUGCUCCUGGCCACAACACUUUGCUUCUUACUCCUCCAAGUUACAAGAUUGCCCCAAACAAAGGUACAAUAACCAGAGGUAGAUUUUCUGUCAACAACAGAUCCUGCCCAAUCCGAGUCAGUGUAUGCCUCAAUGGUCUUUCUGUCUGUUUUUCUAAACAUCAGCCCUUUACCAGGUGUUGAUUUUAAGUAUCUCAAGAUUCUGUUGACAGCUUUCAUGUGUUCCUCAUUAGGGGUCUGCAUAAACUGGCUGACAACACUCACAGCAAAGGAAAUAUCAGGACGAGUAUGAGAUAAGUAAAUUAAUUUACCCACGAGGCGUUGAUACUGUUCUUUAUCAACUGGAACUUGAUCAUCAGAGUUUCCUAGUUUGCAGUUGAAUUCAAUAGGAGUGUCAGUGGGACGACAUCCUAACAUACCUGUCUCGGUUAACAAAUCAAGGAUGUAUUUUCUUUGAGAUACGGAGAUACCUUCUUUAGAUCUGGCCACCUCCAUUCCAAGGAAAUAUUUCAAAUUUCCCAAAUCCUUGAUUUCAAACUCAUCGCCCAUUCUCUGCUUUAGUUGACUGAUUUCUGCCUGAUCAUCUCCAGUCAAAACAAUGUCAUCCACAUAAACUAUUAGAACAGCAAUCUUUCCUGUUUUGGAAACCUUUGUAAAUAAAGUAUGAUCAGAGUGUCCCUGCCUGUACCCUUGGGACUUGACAAAGGUAGUGAAUCUGUCAAACCAUGCUCUGGGAGACUGUUUCAGACCAUAUAUAGAUUUCUGGAGUUUACACACAUGCUGACCAAACUGGGCUUCAAAUCCAGGCGGAGGGCUCAUGUAGACUUCCUCUACGAGGUCUCCAUUCAAAAAGGCAUUCUUAACAUCCAGCUGAUAUAAAGGCCAAUCUUUGUUCACAGCAACAGAUAACAGAACUCUAAUAGUAUUCAACUUAGCAACUGGAGAAAAAGUUUCUGAAUAGUCAAUACCAUAGGUUUGAGUAAAUCCCUUCGCAACUAACCUUGCCUUGUGUCUGUCAAGAGUACCAUCAGCUUUGUAUUUGAGAGAGAACACCCAUUUGCAUCCCACAGUUUUGUGUCCCUUAGGUAGAGUACAAAUGUCCCAAGUACUAUUCUUUUCAAGAGCUUUCAUCUCUUCCAUGACAGCAUUCUUCCAUUCAGGAUACUUUAAAGCAGUGUAGAUAUCUUUUGGUAUUAUGGUAGAGUCAAGGCUUGCUGUAAAAGCUCUGAACUGAGGAGAGAGACUAUCGUAGGAAACAUAAUUGCAAAUGGGGUGUUUAGUACAAGACCUGGUGCCUUUUCUCAGAGCAAUGGGAAUGUCAAGAGAGGAAUCAUACUCAUCUGAUUUUCCUGUAUGACCCUGUUCCGCUUCAUUAUUACGGGUUUCUAUUCUGACCUCAAUCUCAUCACCACUGUCCUUUUCUUCCACGUUUUCAAGAACAGCAACAUUAGACCUGUCAUUCUCACUUAUCAUAUUCUUAGUACAGGGUUCAGUAGGGUUUUCCAUACCUUGAUCUCGAGGAGGUUCAGAGUCUUGGACUGGAGCCGGCGGCUGACUAGUAGGGGAACCGACUUCCUUUUUGUGAUUCCUCCUGUAGUACGUUUUCCAGGGGACUUGGUUUGUGGGUAGGACUAUGGAAUGAGGAAUGAUGUUAGACACGACACUAGGAGUGGGUUCGAUGAAUUCAAAGGUGUUGUUAGACUCUUCACUCACACUCUCCCCCUGAAGAUGGCUAACGGGAAAGUAGGGUCGAUCCUCACAGAAAGUAACAUCCAUAGUGACAAAGUAUUUUCUGGAUGGUGGGUGAAAACAUUUAUAACCACGCUGGUGAGGGGGAUACCCAACAAACACACAUGCCUGAGCCCGAGGGGUAAAUUUGGUUUGAUUAGGGCCAAAAUUAUGGACAUAAGCGGUACACCCAAACACACGAAGAGGAACCUCAGAAACAUGACGAGUCGAUGGGUAGGACUCCUUAAGACAAUCUAAGGGAGUUUGAAGAUGAAGAAUACGAGAAGGCAUUCUAUUGAUUAAAUGAGCUGCUGUAAGAAUAGCAUCUCCCCACAAGUAUGAAGGAAGGGAAGUAGAAAGCAUAAGGGAACGGGCUACUUCCAGAAGGUGACGGUUUUUUCGCUCGGCCACUCCAUUUUGUUGAGGAGUGUAGGCGCACGAGUUUUGAUGAACAAUCCCCUUGGAAGCAAGAAAUUCACUAAGGUUAUGGUUUUGGAAUUCCCGACCAUUAUCACUCCGAAGAAUAGCAAUUUUUUGAUGGAAUUGUGUUUCAAUGGUGUGAUAGAAAUUUUGAAACAUAGAGGAAACCUCAGAUUUAUCAGUGAUAAGGUAGACCCAGGUAAGACGGGUAUGAUCAUCAAUGAAGGUUACGAACCACCGUUUUCCAGAUGAGGUUGUUAUCUUGGAUGGUCCCCAGACAUCACUAUGAACAAGAGUGAAGGGUUGGGUUGGUUUGUAUGGUUGUGAGGGAAAAGAGACUCGAUGUUGUUUGGCCUGAAUACACACAUCACAAGAUAAGGUAGUCAUCUCAACUUUAGAGAAGAGAUGUGGAAAUAAAUGUUUCAUAUAUUGAAAAUUAGGGUGGCCUAAACGAAAAUGCCACAACAUACAAUCUUGUUCAGAAGUAGUGAAAUAGGAAGAUAAGAGACUAGUCCUAGGAAUGCUACUAGAAGAGGUAUCGUCAUCAAGGAGGUAGAGUCCCCUACUAUGCCGGGCAGUGCCAAUCAUCCUCCCCGAGCUCAAGUCCUGAAAAGAGACAGAAUCAGGUAAGAAUAUUGCUUUGCAGUUUAACUCAUGAGUGAUCUUGCUUAUCGAAAGCAAAUUAUAAGAUAGUUUGGGCACAUGCAAAACAUUAUGUAAGGAGAGCCCUGCACAAGGAGAAAUCUUCCCCUUUCCAGCAAUGGGGGCCAAGGAGCCAUCUGCAAUUCUAAUUGUCUCGUUCCCAGCACAAGGAAUGUAAGAUACAAAAUGUUCAGAGGACCCAGUCAAAUGAUCUGUGGCACCAGAAUCCAGAAUCCAGGGGUUCUUCCCAUCAAUACUAACAAGACCGAAGGAAUGAGGUAUACCUGAUUGGACAAUGGCACCUAAAGUGGCAAGACUGAGAUCAGUUUGGUUUUUGUGUGGAUCGGAUUGUUGAGGAGGUUCAGCAGACUCACUCACAUACGCCCGCCCUGUGUUCUGUUUGUCGUUGGAAGGGCGUUUCUUACUUCCUGGGGGACGACCAUGUAACUUCCAACAUUGUUCUUUGGUAUGCCAUUGUUUUUUGCAAUGCUCGCAGACAGGAAUUGGUUUUCCAUUAUGCUUGUCACUGCUACUGUUAGAAGAUCUUGCACUAAAAGCAGCAGAGUCAAUAGUAGGGGUUGCGGAAAUAUUCAUAGCACUUGUGCGAUCUUCCUCGAGGCGGAUUUCAGAGCAAACUUCCAUCAGGGAGGGAAUCGGUCUUUGACCUAGUAUACGCCCUCGAACUACAUCAAACUUAGGAUUAAGACCAGCAAGAAAGUCAUAAAUCCUGUCAUUCUCUUCAAUUCUCGAGUACUGUACACCAUCAGUGGGAUCACGCCAGACUAGUUCUCUGCAUAGGUCCAUUUCUUGCCAUAUAAGAGAAAGCUUAUUGAAAAAGGAUGUGACAUCCAUGGUUCCUUGCUUGCAUUCAUGAACUUGCUUUCUCAGCGUGUAUAGACGAGAGGCAUUCUGACGUUUUGAGUAAAGUGUCUGGGCUGUGUCCCAAAUAUCCUUGGCUGUUGCAGCAAACAAUAACGGCUUGCCAAUUUGAGGUUCCAUACUAUUGAUCAAUAUGGAUCGAAGAAUAGAGUCUUCUGCCUUCCAAUAUCGUUCAUGUGGGUCGCCCGGUAGGGGGCGAGGUAUUUCCCUGUCAGAAAGCUAAAUUUUUGUCGUCCUUCGAGGACCAUCUUUACUGACUGAGACCAUGAGAAAUAGUUGUUGCCAUUCAACUUUUCUCCUGAAAGAUGAUACAUGGAAGACUGAGCCACCGUAUUAGUCACAUAAGGAGAGGAUACAUUAGGGAACGAGUUUACCGGAUUCUCAGAAUACAUCGGUAGAGUGGAUGUCGUCCCUAAGGUAGCCUCAAGUGCUGCUAUCUGUUGUCGAAGCCCUUCCAAUUGUUGAUGAACUAUUCCCGAGGAAGCUUGCACGUUACGGUUGGAAUAUGCCGAAGAUUCACCAACCUCAAAUGUUGAGUGAAUUUGAGAGUUUUUAACAUCGGGAUGGUAGCUAGGAUCAUUGGGUGGCUGGCCAUACAGAUUUGACGAGCAGAAGCGGUGGUAGCCGAUUGGAAUUAGAUGGCAGAACAUAAAUCGGGGCGUGGGGAGCAAUAUAGGCCGCGGACGAAGAAAAGGGUUGGACAGAUGGGAUGGUCGGCGCCGUCUGAGGAAGAAAACCAGGCGCGUGGUGGUCCGGUGACGGCGCGGACGACUGCGGUAAUGACGAAAAAUUAUUUUCGGACGUUUUCUGUAGCCGGCUUAAUAAUUCGUCCAUGGCAGCACUCAUCCGAGCAUCGGUGGCAGCAGCUACGGCAGCACUAAAAUUGAUGGUUGUCCCUUCUGUUUGAUUUUAAUCAGUGGUUUGGUUUUUUUGGGUUUCUAGGGUGUUUUCAUUGUCCCGCUCUGAUACCAUAUUGAAAAGAGAGACAACGAGUUCACACCAAUUUACGUGGAAACCCGAAUACCGGGAGAAAAACCACGGUUGUUUGUUGUUAUUAUUUUCUAAUGAAUAAAACAAUAGGUACAGGGGAGAAUAAAUAGAGUACACAAUGGAAUAAAAAAGGAAAAGAUUUAGGAAAAUAAGGAAUACAUUCCCAUAAUCUUUCCAUAAUUGUUCUAGGAUUCUAACAAGGAAAAAGCCUAGAAAAAAAGGAAAGAAUUCCAACAGUUUUCAAGGUUUAAGAACACUUUUGGUCCCUGAGCUUUCACGAAAGUAAUAAUGUAUUUCCUAAACUUUAAAAUGCAAAAAUUUUGUCUAUUUACUUUCAACUUUGUAUGGACUUUAGUCUCUAUGAUGAAAGUGUUCAUUCAAAUUAAGUGUUAAUUUAUAUUACAUAAUGGCUUAGUCUUCAUAGUUUAUAUGUGAAUUUGAUCAUCAAUGAGUUAUAAACCUACCCGGGUAAGAAACUUAACUCAAUCACAAUAAUAAUUUCCACCAUAGAGAUUUGGUUCUUACUAAUUGUAAAUUACAAGAACUAAAUUGUUACAUUUUAAAGUUAAGGAACUAAAUUGUUAAUACAUUUGCAAGAAUGAGGACUAUCUUUUUGUUACCAACUAAAGUUGAGGGUCAAAAUCGUUAGUUUUAUGCUAGUUUAGGGACGAAAAGUGUUUUUUAAUUAUUCGCUACACAGAACUCAUUAUUGAAUUAUCUUAUUCUUAACAGACAAAUCUGUUCAUGAUAUCGGCUCGACAAAAAUCACCAAGCAUGUCGUGCCAACACAUCACAGGUUGGUUUCUUGACUAAAUGAACCUAAUUUUGUUUGUUAUUUCCCCACGAACGAUGGUAAACAUACUGUAGCAUUGUACUUGAGCAGGGCAAGAACACGAGGUGCCCUUCUGCAAGAUAACGAAGAUGACGAUGGAAGGUAAAAAAAACAAGACAGUUUCAAAAUGUUGAGUCCUUGUGUUCAAAACUAGUGUUAGACAUGGAGUAGGUAAACAAAAUAAUAGAUAUGAUUGUGCAAUGCAGACAUUUCUUUGUUGUAUAUGAUUACGUAAUUCUCAUCUAACUUUGGCUUUCUGCUCAAUUUAGAUUCGAAAAUGUGUAAAUUUUCGAAUGACGAGUAGAUACAAAUUUGAAAUAUAUUGUGCAGCUUAAAACAAGUCACAGUGUGAGACUUUUCAUUAAUUUCUCAAACAAAUCAGCACUUGUUGACAACUUUAUAUUACCAUAUGAGUUAGCUUGAAAAAUAUUAUUAUUAUUAUUAGAAUGUAGAACACAUUUUAAUUUCCAAUAUAUCACGUUCUACAAUUUUUUAAACAUUUAUUUUCAAAACUCUUGACUUUUCUUUAGAAAAAACCAAAAGCUUUUGUUCCAAUAUAUCAGGUUGUAGUCUUUGGCCCUUGAAUUUUGUUAACAUUUAUUUUCAACUAUAUUGACUCUUUCUUUAGAAAAAAUAAAAAAAAAAUUCAAACGAUUACCGAUAAUAAAAAUAGAUAAAGAUAUAAUUUGAAAGAUAUUUAUGAAUAAGUUUAUGAGUAAAAAUAGAUAAAGAUAUAAUCUAAAAGUCGUAUCAUUAAUAAAAGUUUAUCAAAUCAAAAAAUUUAUUACGAAAAAAAAAUAUAGAUAAUCUAACGAAGAGGGAAUCCAAAAAUGAUGAUGUAAAAAGGAAUGAAAAAGCAUUAUCCCCACACUUUAGUUUCUCGUACAAUGAGAACCAUCCAAAUUGUGACAAAGACAGAAAUGAGAUAAGCACAAACCACCAUUAUUGCAAUACAACAAUCAACUAAACUCAAACUCACUCACUCACCUAGACACAACUUUUAAUGCACUCUUUUUGAAAAAGCUUUCCCAAACAAAAGAAGAAGAAAAAAAAACUUAUAUAAUGUGUUGUAUACAAAUUAUUUAUGUUUAUAUGCAGAGUUGCAUUCAUGAACCACUGAUAUAUAGUGAAACUGAUAUGAGUUGUAACUUUUGUAGUUCUAUUUCAUUGGUGCCUCAUAUGGAAGUGGUGGUGAUUGGUGGGUCAUAUACUCAUUAAGAACAAAAAUAAUAAUAAAUCAAAUGAAAAAGUUACUUUUUACUUUUUAGAAAAAGCGAUUGCAAAUGACUAAGUAAUGGAGACAUUGAUAGGUCUAUCAAUAUAUUUAUAUAUAUUAGGUGAGGCAAUUGGAUUAGAAUGAUAAAAUAGCAACUUUUAUCCAAUCAAUUACUUUAUAAAUGUUAAAAGAAGAACGAAGAAAGAGUUGUUUUUCAAAUUAAGCAACAUAAACUCUAUAUUUUGACAACAAAGUUAAAAAGAUAACUUUAUAUUUUUCUUCUUCUUUUAUAAAGAUAUGAUUGAACAUACACCAUUUCAGGAGGUGUCGGUGUCCACUAACAUUAUGCCCAUCCCAUGGUUGCUUUCAUUUCAAAAGGAUCAAAAUUUGGAUAUGAACUCUUACAUUUUGCCUUUUGGUGUUACCUAACUUUUCUUUAAUUAAAAUUAAAGUGUGUUUAGUUUGGAGCAAUUCUAUGUUCGGUGACUUUUUGAAAAUUUUCUUAGAAUGGAUGUGAGUGAAAACAAAACAUGCUGAAAUGACUCUAAUUGGUUCGUGGAACAACUUUCACUCUAAUAAGUCUUUAAGACAAGUAAGAAUGAUAUUGUCAAGUCGCAAGUAAUUAGACGUUACAGAUAUAUAGUUUUAUUUAUAUAUAAACACAUAUCUACAUUAGUGAGGGUCAUACGUUUUACAGAGUGUUUGUAUUUACUCAGUAACACUAAUAUCAUUUUCACACAUUUAAAUUUAUGCACGUUAUAGAUUUUAUUAGGUAUGUAUACAACUUAAUAACACUAGUAAGUAUAAUGUUUUGUUGGUGUAUAUACAUAUAUACAUAAUACGUCUACGUUUUUGCAGAUUAUUGAUUUAGUAACUUUCUUUGGGUGAAUUCAAUUUGUUUUUUUUUGUAACAAAACUAAAUUGUAAAGUCUAGUGUUAGAAAGUAUGGUUUCUCUCCUUCACCCUUUGUUUAAUAAUUUUAAUAAUUUUAAGUUUUAAUAGAUUGUGUUCAUAUUAAGACGAUGGCAUAAGCAGAGUUGGGUGUGGGGCACCGCCGUCACCACCACUACCAAUCUUCAACAAAUCACUUUAACGACGUAUGGGUAAAGGCAGUUAGUAUUAUUGGGUUAAUCAAUUUUAAAUACAUCUUGUACCACUAAAUUCUUUUACUUUAUUAUCUGUUUUUUACCAAACCAAAUCUUUCUUACACUACAAGAGUUUUUUUUCUUUUUCUUUUUUAUCUUUAUAAAAAAAAUACAAACCAUCAUAAUAAGAAAUUAAGAAAGAAGUAAAAGUUAAAAAUCAAAGGUUAAUCAAACGGAUCUUCAAUGUUGAGCUAUUACCAUUUAUAUCCACGAUUUGUUUAAAUAAUAUUUAAAUUCUAAGUCUUCAGUCAUUUUGUGAUUGAGUAAUUUUUAAUAUCAUCCUUCAGAAAAGAAAAGGAUUAGGAUUAGGAUUGUCCUAAUGGGAGUGGGAGUGGGAGUGGGGAGUAGAGAAUUUUGUGAGGAUGAAGAUGGGAUAGGGGGGCGGGGACGGGGAUCGGUAGUGGCAUCCCCGGCCCUCCUCGUCCCGUGGACAUCUCUACUCCUCAUCCCCGUCCCUCACCAUUAAUACCGCGCAUAAGGAGUGAUCCAUUUCCGAUAACGAAAAUCGUGCGUGGGGAAUGGUCCCAACGCUCGACGCGCAAGUGAAACCGUCGUGUGUCGAGUGAUGGAUCUUACAAGGUGGGUGGGAGGGGACGGGGGGGGGGGGGGGGGGGGGGGGGGGAAUAUUUAUAAUUUUAAUUAAGAAGGAUAGAUAUUGAAGAGAGGAAUGAGAAAUUAGAAUGAAAUCAAAACAUUAUAUGGUAGAUGAAACUUAACAUAAAUCAAAGCACAUAGAAACUAAAUAGAAGAGAGAGAGAGAGAGAGAGUUGGAUGAAUUCAUUUGUUGGUGGUGGAGGAUGAGUUGGCGGCGAUGCCGAAGUUGCCUGUGGAGAGAAAUUGGUUUUUGAGUGCGCUCCUCGACGCCGGAUAUUGAGAAGAAUAGGAAUAACCCGGAUAUGGAGUAGUACAUGGUUUCGAUUUCCGUUCGGCGCCGGACUUCAUUUUUUCUCCGUCUUUGUCUUUUGAUUUUUGCUUAUCGCUUCUCUCACUCAUCUUUUCCCCUUUCAUAAUAUUAUCUUCCACCUUCCAAAUAAUAAUAAUUGAGCUUGAGCCACCCACGCAUUUAUAACCUUAAUUUUACACGUGUCUUUUUCUUUUUACUCUUUUAAAUUUUCCAUAAAAUUACAUAUUCUAUAUACAGCUUACCUUCAUAAACCCUAUCUACUGUUGAAUCACUUUAUCUUUACUAUUUAGGAUAAUUUUCUAUAAUCAUAAAGGCAGAUGAAAUUUUAAUUUGGUUGCUAUGAUUCCAAAAAAAUAUAAU
rnacentral:lncRNA from 1 species